rnacentral:lncRNA from 1 species
UUUUUUUUUUUUGAAAUAAGUUUGUUCACGGUUAUAUCUCCGGCAGAUGACCGUUUCUCCCCCUCCGUGACUGAAUUCUGAUUUACAAAAAGUAGCGAUAGAAGUUCCUCUUGGCUAAUUACUCCUCCGGUGCUGAAACUGACAGGUCUGCAGGACAGUCUUGGUCUCUUGUAGGCUUAUGAAGUCACGUUUUCUACAUGCUCAAUUCACAAACACAAAUCACUUUGGGAUUACAUAAUUCUUCAAGCAAAAUAAGACGAAGGCUGGUCAGACUGCCAUCCAUCUAAACUUAAAAGUUAAAUUGGUGAUCCGAGAAAGACAAAUGUUUGAACAUGAGAUGGACCUGUACUAUAUUUCAUUUGUUGUGUCCCACGGAUUCUUUCGACUCUAAUAUCGAACAUUUUACAUUAAAUUCAAUAAGAUUUUCUGAAAGGUGUGUUGUUGAAGCGAACCCAGGAAAGCUUCAGCAGUGGCACCUUUCUAAACCAUAUAAGCAAUUCUUCCACUCUUACUACAUCUGCAAAUCAUGCAUGAUAAAACCAUCCAGCAAAAAGAAAGUAGUAUAUACAUGGCAUAUUGGCAUCACCCAUUACAAUAAGCACUGGUAAUUAGUACAACAAAGAAACCAAAUACUAUUACAGCAAUUGCACGCACGCUUUCUAGCUAGUGUUUCAAAAGCAGAGGAAGCCACCCUUGACCGCCGGCGGCAAGCUGGACUCCCCGCAGAGGCAGUCCACCUUCCACCCAGGCAGCGGUCCCACGUUGUCACCCUCAGCUCUUCUGCCGUCGCUGCCGCGCCACGCGGUGGCCGGAGACGGCGUGCCCGGUGUGCUGGGUUCCUUGCCCGCCUGCUUAUUCACCUCGUAGAUGGCAACGCCAACGCUGCCGCUCGCCGGCGCCACGUCGGGACCGGCGACAGUUAUCUCCGUCAUCUUACCCCUCCUCUCCAUGCCCAGAUCUCCAAUUCCUGCACACUGUUUGGUGAUUUUUUUUUUCUUGGCGAGUCUGCGUGCUUUUCUAUAUUAGCUUCCUGAAAUUGAGAAGCUGUUUUAUAGCUAGGACGACAGAGAAGAUGAUGGCAGCCGGGAAGAUGACUCGGCUGUCAAUUCCGGGAAGAAGACGAUAGCCAUAAAUGAUGAGCAACAGGUGGCAUGAAAUGGAUAAGAACGUGACAUGUGAUUUUUAUUCUAUAUUUUCUUUUUUUAUAAUGUUCAUUUUCUUUUAUGUGACGAAGGGUAUAAGAUCUGGUCAACACUAGAAAAUAAAAUAAACCUUAUAAAAACUCAGUUUAGUGGGGUCAACACUAGAAGUUGCGAUAAUGAUAUGACCAUUUCUUAGCUAGCAGCCAUGAAGAUUUUUCUAGGAACGACAGAACGGUAUUAGCACGAAUGUUGAAUACUGUUAGACUUCCCUGUCGAAUCAGUGAUCCAUCAUCAUGGAAAUUAGGGAACAACAAAUGUGACAGCUAAUGUAGAAAAUGAUAAAAAUGGACGACGAGGAAGCACAAAUUUAUACGGGCGAGAUAAAUCCAGGACUUCAAUUUUAGUUUAUGAGGUGCAUUUUGUUGGAUUUGGAUUCUUUUUCUAGCUACUCAACUAUCACAUCUGGCCUCUAGGAAAAAAAGAAUUAUUCAACAUAACCUGUCAAUUACUGUCACUGUGAUGAGUUAAUGGUGUGGGACCAAAGUCAAUAUCAAACUUAAUCAUUGCUUACUUUGUCAAUUUGGGGCCAUACACGCCAACUACUCUCCCUGUACUUUAGAUUUGUUCUAAAUUAAUUAAACUUGUCAAAUUUACAUUAAAAACAUCAACACUAACAGUAUUCAAAUAUUUCAUUAAAUCCACUAUAAAAUGUUCUUGAUAGUGCAUUCAUUUGGUAUUAUAGAUAUUAAUAUAUUUUUUAAAAUAAGUUAAUCAAAAUUAGAGCGUUUGGAGUAGGAGGGAGUACUACUCUACUAGAAAGACUACAAUUUUCCUUCUGUUGAUAUAUAUAUUUGGGGCAUACAUAGUAUAUUACUUUCUUUGUUUCUCUAUUUCAAAUCAAAUUGUAAUUUGCUAUAGCUUUGUCCUAAGUUAAAUUUAUCUAAUUUUGAUCAAAUUUAUAAAAAAAUGCAUUCAAACUAGUUUCAUUAGAUUUUAUAUUGAUAUACUUAUUCCAUGUUGUAAAUGUUAAUGUAUUUUUUCUAUAAAUUUGAUCAAAAUUAGGCAAAUAUGACGUAGGACAAAUUAUAAAAAUCUAUAAUUUGGAACGAGGAAUUAUUAUUGACUAUAUAAGCAACCGUGAUAUCUAUAGUUAAAUAUACUUAACAACAUGGAUUCUAUGGCCCUAUUUAGCAUGGCUCCAACUCCACAAUUUUCUGCUCCCACUCCAAACUCCAGCUAGAGCAAUCUUCACAUGGAGUUGGAGCUAAUGUGUAACACCCCAGAAUAUCAGCAACAUUCUGGAGCGUUACCACACUACGUUACAGCUAAUACAGGCACACACAUAAAAAAAUAGCAAUAAAGAUAAAAGAAUAGAGCACAUGGAAGCAACUUAAAUCAUCUAGAUAGAACAUCUUACAGACUGGAUCCAAAAGAGAUUAUAAGCUAAGUAAAGACUUCAAAACCGAACAUUUUUAUUACAACACAUAUGUCCAAAAUAUAUAUGAAGAAGUGUGCACACACGUGCUGCUACUCCCAUCCAACCAAGCACCCUCCAAACUCAAGAACCUGCGGAGAGGAAAAGCGUAUGAGCAAGCAAACUGCUUCAACCAAGUUAUUUAAAUCACAAUAUAUUACGCAAUAAUUUAAGAAUCAAUAUUAUGAAAGAAGCACCACACAUCUUCGAGUAGUAAGAUAAAUAAAUACUUCACAACAAUACUUCAUAAUGAUAUUGAAUGGUACAAUGCAAUGCAAUGCAAUGUAUGAAUUCACUUCUACCCACACAUCCCCAAAGAAGAAGGUGAGGGCUACAACCACAUUGCUAUAUCUCAACGUGCUAUGCCAAGUACUAUUGAAAAGGGUGGAGAACUUGAUGCUACAAUUUCUAAUGUAAUUCUUGGUCACAGAACCUCCACUUGUAGCUAGUUCGGUAGGCCUUGAGCACAUUAUUGCCAAACUUUAGUAACAUCUUCUAUAAGACAAUUCACCACUCAUAACUUUGAUCACAAAAGACCAACCACCACAAAGAGAUCAAAACUACACUAUAAUAAAGCAUGAGUGCAAAACAUCUGCAAAACCCACCAAUCACUACAUGCACCAAGCUCUAGGGAGAUUUUCUUCAAAACUCAAGUCUUGACUUCUUGGAAAACAUGGCUGAAUGAUCAAACUUCCUUCACACUUUUCCAAAACCGAAAUCAACUACAAAUCUCAAAGUACUCCAUGGGAUAGUAGUAGAGAGAUGCCAAAAGCUCAGCAUCAUCUAGGUAAUAAGAAAUAGGAAUAUAUUCACAAGGACUCCUAUUGAUCGACAAUUGCAAAGGAAGGGAAGGAUCCUAGUUUAGUAACCAUGGAGAGUAACAAUCGUUGCACCACAUUAGCACCUCCAGCAUCUAAGCCAUGAUGCGUUAGACCUUCUGCCAACUGAAGCUCAGUCAAAGGAGACGAAAAAACAUUAUGUCAUCUUUCACUAGCUCAGUAGACUUACAUUGACAUAGAACUGCAUCCAAACGCCAUUUGUUGUUGACUUAAAGUAAGCUCUAUACGGUGCUCAACACUAAGGCUAAGUGAAUUAACUUCAUAUGUCUCCAAAUAAAGCAACAUCAUGCUAAACAUGGUAGGCUUGCCAAAGAUUAAUCUCUCAACAUUGAAUUUGUCCUUUGGGAACGAACCUAUAAAAACUUCAAGCUUUAGUGCUCACAAACGGAUCAUGACACCGUAUUCAAUUGAUCACAUCCCAUUUGUAUUUCCCAAAUGCUCCAUGUCACUAUAACUCAGUAUGAGUAUCGAACUUCCGUUGUUGAACACAAUGGACCACUCCGCUAUGAAAAAAAUAAAAUGUAAACCAUAAUUUCAUAUUUAUCUUGUUAGUAUGAGGUACUGAAAUUAAAUGGAGGCAAUUCAUCAAACAACAAAGCUAAAGCAUCUAGACCACAUCGCUAGUUUACUUGCCUUCACCGAAGACCAAGAACAUGAGCUAAGCACGAUCCGAAGGCGCACCACCUGUUCACAAACAUAACUCAGCACUAACACAAACACACAAGCAUAAACAAACAUAAUUCAAAGUGUUCCUACCCUGAACCCGACAACCUCACAAAACCACACGCAAAACUAGACAUGACAGCAAUAUUGUUGCUUCUCUUUUUUGUAUCUUUUAAUUGUGAUGGCUAAAAAUUCUCAUCUUGUGCCAUCUGAAAGAUAACUUCAGAAAUUACAACUUUCUAGUGAUCCAUAAAUAGAGAAAAAAUCAUCAACAUAGGCUAAUCUGAAGAUGAACCUCAUACUGAAAAUCUGACAACAACUGCAGAAUGGUUCUAGUAAAAUAUGUAUAUUUGGAGCUCCAAAAUUCAUAUGAAAAUGCACUUAACCAAUCUGAAAACCUUAUAAAAUUGUCUAAAUCUUCUCGAACCACUAAAAAGUCCAAUUCAAUCGCUAGGUUUGCCUAACCUUCAAGAGAACAGAUUCUGCGCAUAGUUAAGAGUCUGAAAAACAGUCAGAAUCAAAACUUUGAUAUCUCCCUGGUCUUAACUCCGAUUGUAGUGUUCUUUGAGGCUAUGAAAAGCUAUGAAAAUCUUCUACAGCUCAUGAAUAGGUUUAUUAUUUUUUGAAUCCAUUAAGAGGACUCAAAACAGACAUUAGUGAAAACUGCGCAUAUUGACUACAUGCUGAAAACAGUGACGAGGGCAAAACUAUACCCUAGCCCUUAACGGCGUCGAGUACCACUACACGCACGUGCUAGAACAUCUGAAAUCUUAGGGAAAACAUGGAUUACAGUGGGCGCAUGCCUCACCUAGGGUUUCCCCUUCAAAACAGCAAGAGCAACGGCGACAGAGGCGAUCCCAACGAUGACUCCUGGUCAUUUUCCUCUCCCUAGCGACGAACGACACAGCAGCCCUGCCGAUUGCACCUAAAUUGCAACCCAAAUGGCGGCACCACCAUGAACAGCGAGGAAAGGAAAAUCGAUUGGGGAAACAGAGAGAGAAAAGGAAGUCCAACCAAUUUUUGAAGAGGAACGACGACAACGGGCGACGGCGGCGUACCCUAAUCUCUCCCCUUCUCCCUUCUCUUAUUCUCCCUCUCUCCCCUUUGGAUCACGGGCAGAAGGGGAGUGGCGGCGCAAGGGUAGGAGAUGUGGGGGUAUAGGGUUUAGAAAGGAUAGGUGGGCCGGCCAAGGGAAAUUAGAAACUCCAAACGAGAUAUAUGAGUAAUCAAACGAAAUGGAUUCAACGAGCUCAACGCAACCAUAGCAUCCGAGCGAUGGAUCUAAACAGUCAACUUUUAGCCCUCAAAUUUACAUAUUUCCACAUAGUGUAUUUUUUUUUUUGCGCAUUCUGGUUGUGACGUGACGAAUGGGGGUGUUUGAUUCAGAGGGUGUCCAACCUUUAAAAAAGGCAUUUUCAAGGUGAAUUGCCAUUACUGCCCAACUAGUGGCCCCAUCUGUCAUUCUCUUUGUCUCUAUUUUUUUCUUCUUGGGAGGAGUCUCAUCCAGCCGCUGUUCCUCUGCUCGCCUGGAGGCGCCGUACGGGGCCGGCCAUGGUGGAGCGAGAUGGGGCCGUCGGUGGUCGCACGGGACGUGAGGGCGCGACAGGGUGCGGCGGCGCUGGACGGCCCCGCCAGGGCGGAGCAGGACGGGCCGGCGGCGGCCACGCGGGAUGGGGAGGGCGCUGCGUGCGCGACGGGGGUGCGGCGGCCGGGCAGGCGGCACUGGACGGGACCGGCGAUGGCCGUGCGGGACGCGGAAGGCGCGGCAGAAGGCCACGGCGGGGUAGGACAGGUGCGGGACGCGGAGGGCGCGGUGGCCGGGCCGGCGGCUUGCUCGACGGGGUCCGGCGGCCAAUCAAGCGGCGCUGGACGGGGCCGUCCACGGCGGGGCAGGACGGGACCGGCGGCGACCGCACAGGACGAGGACGCGGCUGCCAGGCCGGCGGCGUGCGCGAGAUUCUCGGCCUUGCGUAGAAGCACCUCGCCAGGGUCCGCGGCAGGGGAAGGAGGCGGGGGUUGCUCGGGAGGGGCCGGGGGCGGGGAAGAGGUGGCGCGGCUCGGGCGGCGGCCUGGCCGGAGGGCGGGCGGAGUGGGGAGGCGACAGGCGGCGGCGGCGGCGCUCCUGCCAGGUGAGUCGGGGAGAGGAGAUCGGGAGGAGAGGGGCAGACAGGAACGAACCGGUACGCGUAACCGGUGGCAAAGGUGCUUCACAAGUAGGUUCAUAUUUGAGGUUCAUGCAGUUGCAAGUGAGGUUGCUUCGUCAAGAUAAUUUGGGACUCCACUGCUAAAAAGGUAGUGUUGGGAUGUUUGGCUGGCUCCACUCAACUUCACUUAGAGUUUGAAGUUGAAGUCAUGCCAAACAGAAUAUAUAAAACAAUAAAUGAGAACAAGUGGCGAAGAGAGUAGUUUCAAAUCAUGUGAAAGGCCGAAAUUAUUUCUGGUACACGGACUGGACCGAAAGAAGAAGCUGGGUCUCCCAACUGGGCUCGCAUCUGGGCUUUCCAUAGUUCAGCCUCAACAGGUGGGUCCCAAGGAAAGCUUCUAGAGGCUGGAGCCACAGAAAAGGCACGGGCCCACACGCCUCCUAGGUUCUCUCUUUCCCCAUCCUCUUCCGCUUCUCGCCGAACCCCCGAGACCCGAGUGCCCCCGCCGGCCCUGCGUGUCUCGCCCCGCAAGGAAUUCUUUGCCGAUUCCACUCCCCCAGGUCAUAAUCCGAUCGAUCGAUUGGUCCGCGAACCCGUCAUAUUCUGUUCUUGCUUCUUCAUCUUCAUCUAUUUAUAUGGAUUAUUGAAUUCUGCGUGUAUAUUUUGCCUUGUUUGGGUUUAAAUCGGCGGCUGGGGCGCAGUUCUUGAGUCGUCGGCGAUGGCGUCGAAGCGGAUCCUGAAGGAGCUCAAGGACCUGCAGAAGGAUCCCCCCACAUCCUGCAGCGCAGGUGAGUUUAUCCUUCUCCACCACCUAUUGAUUGGAAGGGGUCACGGCAUUAGAGCGUUCUGGACUAUGUGUAUGCUUCUGCUCGUGUGGUCGAUUGGUUCGUUGUAUGACUGAACAAAGGGCUAGCCUGCUCGUUUUCUUAUGUGCACGGAGAGUCGGUUUAGAUUGAUGUGGCUGAAGUUCCUCUGUCCUUUAGAUUGAUGGUUCUAUUAGAUGUUGGUCAGUCGCCUUCCCUACUAGGGCAGCCAAGAAAAGAUCAUGCUGUUAUUGGAACAUUAGUUCUGCGUAUCUUUAAUUCUGUGGCUCUAUUAAGUCAAUAAGAUUGCAACAAAUAUGGCUAUUGCUUCUCACCUGCUCAUAAAAUAAUUAUAAAAAAACUCAGUGCACAAAUUUACACUUCCAUGAAAGAACUUUUUUCCCUUUGUAGUUUUUAUAGAUAAUCUAGGGUGGCCGCAUGCUUGAUCAGACUGUAAUUAUGAGCUAUUGUGAUUAUAUAGAUUACUAUUGUUUAAUUGGUUCAGCGAUCAUUUUAAUUCCAGGUCCUGUAGGAGAGGAUAUGUUCCAUUGGCAGGCAACCAUCAUGGGCCCUUCAGAUAGUCCCUAUGCAGGUGGUGUGUUUCUGGUUUCUAUCCACUUCCCUCCGGAUUAUCCGUUCAAGCCACCAAAGGCAAGUCUAAAUUAGUUUAAACAAACACAAAUUUUAUUCAAGAUGAACAAGGUGCCCAUCUUUAAUUCUUCAUCUCUAUCAUUGCCCCUUUUUUUUGCAUCAGCUCAUAGUUUCAAUAAAAAAGUUUUCCAAUCUUGUGUCUUAAUAUUUAUGCAUGACAAACAUGUAAAGUUCAUGCAGUAACCAGAUAACCAAUGUUCUACCUGUCUUCUUCAUUAUUAUAGUGCUACUAAAUUGCUAUCUUGAAAUUCAACUUUGUACCAAGCAGUUACUUGAUUGGUUGGUAGGAUUUCCUCUGCAUGUGCUAGGUUUAUAGAUCAGUAUCCAACAGAAAUAGUGAUAUGGCAUAGUAGCUUAGAAGAUUUGAAGGUUUUCGUGGUUAUCUUACAUAUAAAAUUGAAAUGCUAAAUCGAGGGGCAGCUUUACUGCUAUGCGCUAUUUCUACUAGAAAUGUAGGAAACAUACAAAGAUAUCAUCAACCUUUUCAGGACUUGUAAAGAGGGCCUAUUUAUUGUACGAUUCCAUCAGAAAGUGGCAUUGAGCAUUGCAAGUUCCAUUGUACUUGGAUAUUAAUAUAUUAUGAAUUUACAAUGUUGGAUCUUUGAAGUUAUCAUGUUCUGAUGUUGAUUUGCCAGCACAUUUUUAUGGACCCCUAAUAGGGCUUGUAUUAGCUUAACAUAUGAGGAAAAUUUUGUGGGAUUCUUCUACUCUAGUGAGAAAAUAUCAGCCAUACUGUAUCCUUUAUAUGCCAUCACCUUGUUUUGUUGCGCAUGACUUAUACCCUAUAUUCUUCUCUUUGCCUGAUUUACCCUGCUAUAGUGAAGUUUGAUGGUAAGGAUUAGAAGGAUUAGUCUAAUAGAUGUCUUUUUUUAGUAUACAUGAUAUUGAGAGAAUCCAAACACUAAAGAUUAAUAAGGUUAAUUCACAUUGUCCUUGUACAUUGUAUUUCGCUCUACCUUUUUUGGUUGAUCUGUUUUCAUCUGCUUCUUGACCUGGUCACCUUUUGUUACAUUCUACUCCACCUAUGGAUGGGAACUGCUCCCUUCGUUCAUCUUUACAAAUUACAAGGUGUUUUUUUUGUUAGGAUAAGCUUUGGCCGAUUGUUACCCUAUCAAUAUGUCAUUCAUGUGAUACAUAAGUAAUUUUGAAUACGGAUCUAGUAGCAUCAAUUUUGUAUCGCAAAAAAUAUGUAUUGAUAGGAUAAUUGUGGUCAAAGGGUUCUCCCAACAAAACAAAAUACGCCUGUGUAAAGAUGAAUUGAGGGAAUACUAGGUUGUUAGGUCUACUAAUGAGCUAAUUUUAUUUUCAUAUUUCUUUGGUCAGUCUGCUGCUUUAUGUCUAGUGGUAAUGUAUAUGGAAAUUUCCUUUUCCUGUAGAUAAUAGAUUAGUGGGCAGUAGCUACAAUUGAUCAAACUGUUGUUUGAUUAUCCUACUGUGGUAUAUUUUUAAUCAAUCCCUUCUCUCUCGAUCAUGGAUGGAAUAUAUCGUGCUAUUCUGAAAGUAUGUCUGAUGCUGCAGGUUGCUUUCAAGACAAAGGUUUUCCAUCCAAAUAUCAACAGCAAUGGAAGCAUCUGCCUCGAUAUCCUCAAAGAGCAGUGGAGCCCAGCAUUAACUGUUUCCAAGGUGAUUGACCUCAGCUUAAUUUCUCUUUGGGCAAUGAAAUUUGUAUGUGUAUGCUCUCAAAAAAAAAUUGUAUGUGUAGGACAUUUUUCAAUAUGUUUUCUACUGUUACUGUAGAUUGAGGUACAUAGGAAACCAACCUCAUCUGCCCCUGCUAACUUCCACUAUUUUGGUUUGUUUUAGGUGCUACUUUCAAUCUGUUCACUGUUGACGGAUCCAAACCCAGAUGAUCCGCUGGUUCCAGAGAUAGCUCACAUGUACAAGGUGGACCGAAGCAAGUACGAGACCACUGCGAGGAGCUGGACCCAGAAGUAUGCAAUGGGUUAGCCAGUUAUAUUAGACCUACAGGAGCAGGCAGGGAAUCCGUUAUAACAUACUAAUGGACCUAUCCCUACUAUGCUAUGAUUCUGGGUAUUGUAAUAGCAACAAAUGUCGUAGGUCGAUGGUUACUGUUGCGCAUCCUAUGAACAUAUAUGCAUAUGCAUUAGCAUGGUUUCAACAGAUGAAUAGAGAUUAAUAAACAUGCUUGCAUGUUUGACAUGGAUGGCAUAUUGUUUCAUCAUAUCUGCUCAUAAGGUGUGAUUUGCACACCACGUUUUAUCGGUGUGCGGCUGCUGAAUGCCCUGCAAGCUGUUGGGGAUGGUGCCUGCGUUUGCUGCAAGCCUGCAAAGAACUGCCUCCUUGUCCAGUUUGCCGUGCAAAGUGUUGUUCGUACUGAAUUUGCGAAAGAUGCCGAUCCCUCUCCUCCGUUUUGGAUCUGAUUUUGUUUUGGUGUGGUAAAUGUAGUCUUGCUACAACUGUGGCGUGCUUAUACUUAUGGUAUGCUCGAGCACCGAAAGGGAAAACAUUCUCGAAAGGGAAAACAUUCUAGUAGAUUACUUUUGCAAAGAUAAACCUGAUAGCCUGUUCAUUUGCUUCUUCAGUUCAAACACCGUGGCAGUACAUGGGGUUUAAAUUGCUUAAGAACAACAGGUAGCCUGUUUUUGUAAGAGCAGCACCGCAGAAGAUAUUGAAAGAUUAGACCAGUUGACCCUGUGCUCAGAACAAACAGGUAAAGUUUUAUUUGUUCUUUCUGGGGAAAAAAAAGGGAGAGUUUUUCUUUAUUUGUCGCUAGCAACUGCAUUGCAAAAUGCAGAAGGCCGAUCUGAUCCAACCUGACCCGAACACCGAACUGAUGGCUAGCAGGAAAUGGCGAGUUCAGAAUUUGACUAUCCUGCAAAAAUACACUAGCACACCACAAGCAAGAUUUCCGAAACUCUCCAAAAUGCAAUACAUCUGACAGCCAUUGGAACAUCUGACAUGAAAGCAUGUACAUGAAGAAGUAGCAGUAACAUUAUACACAUGCAAAACCCAAUAGAAUCCAUCACAAAUGAAUACGGACCGACCGACCACCAAUGAUGCCUCAAAUAAUCCACCACUACCACCCUACCAAAAGGAGGAAGGAAAAAACUCUGCUCUGUUCUGCUCAGAAGAGCUUGUACGGGGAGGAGGCGUCGAGAGGGUGGAUCAGGUAGGUGAGCACCAAGGCCACGAUCAUCAGCAGGUACGCGAUGCCCUGGUCAAUCGAUGUUCCUGCAAAAACAGAUCAGGCAUAAUUCCUUUAGCUAAGGAAAAUUAUCUGGGGGCGAAAUGUAAUAGUUGAAGCUACAGCAAAGCAAAGGACGAGCAGUAUUCAAGGAGUAAAUCUGCUCUGUAUCGUGUCAGGUGACUCACCGUCGCUGGUGGGCGCCGGCGCGGGGGCCUGCGCGGCGGCGAGGGCCGGCAUGGCGAUGGCGAAGACGAGCGCCGCCGCGACGGCGAGGCCGAAAGGAGUGGUUCUUGAUGCCAUGGCGGCUGGUGAUGGGAUGGGAGUGCGCGUGAUUCGGGGGGAGGGAGAAGAGGAACGAGCAAGAAGAAAUCUCUGUGGCCGAGGGAUACGCGCCUAUCUCUCUGCUUGUACGCAUGUGCAUUCGCUCCUCUCUCCCCCCUUUAAAACGCCUCUCCCUCCCUCUCUCUCUCUCUCUCUAGAGUCCAGACUCCAGAGCGUAAUAAUUUAGCGGCAACGGCUCUCUCUCUCUCUCCCUUCCUCUCUGUGUGUGUUUUUUCUCUCUCUAGAACGAACGGCACCGCUGGACCUCGCUGGGACUGCCAUGGCGUGUUGCGCCGGCGGCGGGGCCCGCGCACAUGCACGACCGUUGCGGGGGUUGUUUGCAGGGGGAUCGGCCAGUCUGGAAUCCCAUUCUUGAGGCUGGCCGUGGCUGGCAGGCAGCCUCCGAUGCCUUUUGCCUUGCCAUCAUCGAUCUGGACGCACAAAUGUUCCAGAAUGCAGAUCAUAAUUCUUUAGACGUGCCGCCGAAUCCGAUUCAUUCCAGCCGUAUGAUCACAACUUUAAUUGUUGUUCCGAGGUGCAAAUCUGUUGCGCUGCCGCCAGAGUUUGUCCUCUAUAUGCUUCGCAGCCAUGAACUAACAUCUCUAAUCGAAUUUUUUUUGAUAAUGGAUAAACAUCCGGACUCUUGGAGAUAUCCGGCCUCUAUCUCCAAUCGUAAAUACUUGUGCAAAUAAAUGACGUUGAGACAUCAAGUUUUUGCCUGCAUACAGUUCAAUCCUCCAAUUCAAAACGUCAUAUAUUUCCGACCGGAGGGAGUAGUUGCAAGUUAAAUUUUAGGGCUGCAAGUACAAAAUGGAAUAUCAGAAAACAUUCUGAAAAGUGAAAAUACUACAUAAAUGACAAUCUGAAUAGGAAUGGGGAAGUAAGGAAGAGAGACCCUUCCAUCCUGAACAGAGUACGGUCCUGUAUCCCGGUGAAACUCCGAUACGAUCUUGCUUGCACUUGUGGCUGGCACUUGCUCUCAUUGUUUCCUACUGAAUUCCAUGGAUCCAGAAAUGUUCCAGAGCCGUGAGCACUCCAUUUGUCGCGACCUCCGGCGGCAAGCAACCGUCUGAAACACGAAUCUGUCCACUUGACCGGUCGCGUACAAACUGCAGUCAUCUGGGAAAUGGACGGCCCAACAAACAAAUGCUGAUACGCUCCCUCCCAUACCAAUGAUUCAGUGGAAGUACAUUUGACAUAUACGUUUCAAAAAAAAACAUUUGACAUAGCAGAUAGAAAAAAGAUAAAUGUCAGUAAUAACAUGCAACAAGACAACAGGUGUUGGCAACUUAAGUCAUCGAACGUGCGCGAUCCCCGACAAAUGGAACCACGCAGGGAAAGAUGCUCAGAUGCUAGAACAAUUUCAGAGUCUGAGGCAUUGACCAGUCGCAUGCAUCAUACGGUAUCCAUCCAAAUUGUAGAUCAUUUUGGUAUUUCUAACUUUAUAGGUUUUACUGUCUAUAUAGAUAUAUAGAUAUAGACUUUGUGCACGCUGCAAAACUAAAGGGAUUGGCGGUCCACGACCAAGAAACGGCCCACGAGGUUCUGGCCAUCUGACUGACUGAGCUGCUGCUAUAUUGGGCUUCCUAGGUUAUGUACGAGACUACGAGGUACUUGCCAUGUGAAAAGUCUGUUGCUGAAGCCCGCUGGGUACCCUUUCAAUAGUUUUCAAAAAAAAAAAUCCCUUUGCUUAGCAAGCUCCUCUUUUUUUUUUUUCCUUUUUUCCCCUUUGAAUUGAAGUCCUUUACUGGUAACGUGAGACCAAGUCAGCACUGGUCGCGUGAUAAUGUUUUUGUUUUUAUAUUUUUUGUUUUACGAUUUUGCAGAAAUAAAUAGUCGAACGAAAAAUUUGCAGACCUACACCGCAGUACGAAACGGCAGUAGGUCCACUUCCACCGGUUGGAUUGGCGGUAGGAGGCCCGCAACGCUACACAUGCGUUUCUCACCGUACAAAAUGGCGGUAGCAUGCUUUAGCCGUUUCGUACGGUGGUAGUUAGCCUUCCACCGUUUCAAGUGGCGGCAGGCUCCCCCUGCUUGGUUUAGCUAGGUUUAGCCGAUAUUAGCAGGUUGCAGGAUGCUAUAGCUGGUUCAAACGGCUAUAGCGGAGUUAUAGCCGUUUGAACCGGUUAUAACUCUGUUUUAAUUUUGAUAAGUUAUUUUUCAUGUAAUUUUGUAUGAUAUUUUUAGAAGUGAAAUAUGUAGUUACAUUGCAAUAUAUAACUUCGUAAUUUGAGAGAAGUAGAGUGAUUGAACGAAAUAAUUGAAAAUGAUUUAACUCCCGACCAUUAGAUACAUAGCUGUUUCCAGCGACAUUACAAUGGAUCCAAAUGAAAUUUCUAAACUAAGUGGCAUGUUGCUAAAUCUAGCAUGCCUUAGGUAAUUAAAAUAGCUAGGGAAAAAGCUAUGUCUACUUCCUAUUAGAAAUGGCUCUACGAGGACUGCGACGGCCAAGCUCCAUAGUAGCCAGCAACCCCAGAGGAUGGCGGAGACGAGGGACGAUCCUUGUUGUGGUGGUAGGUGCACUUGCACCAUGGAUCGGUGCAAAUCAAGUCACCUACGAUAUCAAUCGCCCAAGAAUUCGCGUCAACUUCGGACUGAAGAUCCUCGACCUUACUCUCCAGGUCAAAGAUCUUGCACUUCACGUAGUGUAUGUACUGCUUAGUUGGCUUAGGAAGUGGUGGAUCAACCCACUUGGUGUAGCGGCAGUUUCCUUCAUCAAGAUAGGUCUGAACGUGAUGUUAGUUUGAAACACGAGAAGCUUAGAAAGAGCAAUGAAGUAAUAACUUUACUCACCAACCCAUAAAGCUGGAUGACACAAACCACACCAUGGUGACACAUUGGCCACGCAUCCUGGCGGUCAUCAUGAAGCCUAAGGGAGUUUGGAGGGGCGUAGUUAGCCCUGUCCACCAGAGGGAACUCAUCGAGGGGUGCCUCAUACUCCGUUGGGCCAAAAGAACCUGGCCAAGUGAUGGUUGGAAUAGGAGCACCCCCUCCUCUUCCCCUCCUCCCACGACCUCUCCCUCUUGCGGAUGCCCUAGUUCUUACUCGUGCUCAGUGGCGUGGAAGGAUAUGGGAGUCUUACUUGUGCUCAGUGGCGUGGAAGGAUUUGGGAGAGGAGGGUUCAAUAUAAGGAGUGCUGAGAUGAAGACGCGUUGCGCUCCCAUGUGCUCAGUACGUCAUCGUGUUCAAUCAUCCUGAGAAAUGGUACAUAUAGCCUUUGCAGGUGCAGGAACGUAGGUGUAAGUGGAGUCCCAUCCACCUGAGAAGGUAUCAUGUUCAGGGUCCUUGCAGUCUAUAGUGUAGCCUUUUCAGUGAGGUUCACGUCAACAGUAUAUAGUGUAGGUUUUUCAGUGAGGGUUCACGUCAACAGUGUGUAGUGUAUGCUUUUCAAUGAGGGUUGACAUCAAUAGUGGAAACCACUAUUUGAGUAUUGUACUUGCUGCAGAGUAGUGUAAUUGGAAUAGUGUGGAAUCUCAGUACUCGAUGAAAGGAGAUGAAAUGUUAUAACAGUAUAAGCAACAGUACAAUGGCAUCCGAGUCGCCCAACAUGACAAAUCUAAAAGAGCACCAGCCUACAUAAGAUAAAGGAGAUCCUAUGCACUAAAUGUGUCCUCGCUUGAAAUGAGGCUCACCGCGACCAUAACCACGCCUCGCUACCCGCUGCGCUGCUCUGGUCUGGUACUGGUCGUACGUGAAGGACUCCGGAGGGGCAACAUCGCGAGGCGGACGUCCUGGUGCGGCCGCAGGUGGUGUCGUGAAGUCCUGGGUGGCGCCCUGUGUAGUACGCACGGGGGCAUCCCCUAACUGCAAAGGACCAAGCUCGUCAGGGUCGGAUCUGAAAAGAUCGUCCACCCAUGUUGAGCUCGACCUCUGUCCCUCCUCCUCGACGGAGUACUCCGAAGCUCCUCCGCAGUCUGUGAACCCUGUUAUGGAACUAAGAAAAUGUUAUUGUAAGUUUUUUUUCGUAUUUAAAGUGGAAUAGAAAGCAUGCAUUCACGACGCACCGAGGUGUUGUAGCUCUGUACUCGGAGGAGCUGUAGAUGGCGCCGCUCCACUGUAAGCUUGGUAUAUCUGCGGGGCUAUGUUACGAAAUUAUAAGUUAGUACAAGAAAUUGGACAACAUUUUGUCAAUGGAAAAUGAGAAAGUAACGAACACGUACCUGUCGAGAUCACGUACUACGGAACAGUCGACGUGCCGGGAGGGCAUACCAACACGGUGCUGGUGGGACAGUCGACGGCGGACGAAUGGGUGGUUGAGAAGACGUACCGGGCUCGUGAGUAGGAGUUGGAGAGGACGAAUGGGGGUAGGCAGCCUGUGCCUUUAUACCUUCCAGUUAGAAAUGUGCCAUCAAUACAAAUGACUGGGCGACAUCGCUGAAAAGCCUCAAUGCAAGGAACCAAGGCAAGGAAUGACCGUUGCAGGACCUGUUUGCCUGGAAACUGAGCACAUGGAUAGGAUUUUAGGUCGCAGUAGCUUCCUGGGUUCUCUAGCAUAUGGUGUGAAACAGGAGAGAGAGGUUGUCAUACGAUGCUUCGUACGUACCCCACUUCAUCUCCAGCGCCUUCUGCUUGGCUUAGUAGGCUUUGUUGUAACUAAUCUUGUACUUGAACUUCUCCUUUAUGGCACAAACAAUCCACUUGGGCUCAAAGUUGGGAUGCUCCACUAUGUGAGAAUACAUGUAUUGAGUAACAAAAUCAGCAGUGAGAUUGCGAUGUGUUCCUUCCAAUUCAUCCAGCAAGCAUUGGUGCUCAACCACUCUAGUCACCUCCUUAUAUGCGUGCACUCUAAAUGGGCAAUUGCUUCUCACAUAGCACACAUUAUACACCGUCGGGUUGCUCUUCACCACUCUGAACUGACGUUGCAAAGAUAAAGUGGAUCAUCGCUUCACAGCUGCCUUCACCUCAUCCCCACUGGGGUACAUAGCACCCACGCAAACUUCAUUCUCCCUAUACUCUCAAGGGAUAUUUUUCCCUAUAUUGACCAGUAGGGCGGAAUGGUCAUAAGCUGACCAGUUCUGCGGGACAGGGUAAGCAUCUUCCUCAUUCAACGAGUCAUCAUCCAUAGCACCAUUGGCCUUUUCUUCUUCCCUCUCCACCUACUCAACUAACUCAAGCAUGUCUUCCCCCUCAUCAGCCUUCCUAUUUGGCUCACGGGUUGCAACAUCAUCCUCUGCAUCUCCCUCUUCUACCCCAUCUUCAUGAACUUCUUCAUUUUGCCCAUCAGUACUCUCCACACCUUUCUCGACUUCAACUUUAGCACCUCCCACAUCUUCUUCCAUCUGACUGCUAGACCCAGCCUUCGUGAACACUUGAACAUACCAUAUGAGUGGUAAACCGUGCUUCGUGCAACUUUUUACAUAAGUCCGGUAGUUCUAGGUUCCUUCAAGUGGGAUCAGCUCCUAAAAGUUUAUGUCAGGUCGUCUCCUCACUACAGCCUUAACGGACACAUCCACUUGAUCUCUAUCAAGACCGAAAUCCUUACAAAACCACCUGCAUAUGCCUCCCAAGUCCUCUCUCUUGCUCUUGGUAAAUGCUUGCAGAAAGACUAAAAUCCACUCAAAUCUAUCUCUUCUGGGUCAUAUCUAACCUCCCCCGGACCAUAGAACACUUGGAAAUAUGAACUUUCCGACAUGCCUGCCAAUACACAUGACACAAACAGUGCAAGUUAUUCUCAAUAACUAAAAUCAGUUAACUCGAACGAUACCUACAUUUCAAUAUACGGUCCAACCUAAACCUAACGAACUAAUUCAUUUUAUUUUACCAAGUCAAUAUACAUAAUACUAUCAUAGGUACAAAAUAUUACUACAUUAAUGUAGCCCUAAAGCAGGUCAAUAUACGCGAUAAGAACAAAAGUUCUAACUAAAUCUAAUAAUUCCAACUACCCCUGAAACAACUACAUCUUGAAUACCUAUACAUAAUAUAACCCUGGCAUUGCAAAUAAUAUUCAUCUAAAAUUAAUCUACAUAAAUCAACAAAGUAAUUUUACUGUCAUCUAAAUAUCUAAGCUAAAUCCACUAACCUGACUUAGCUACGUUUUCCUAUGUCCACUAUCAACUAAAUAUCUAAGCUAAAUUCACUGUCAUCUAAAUAUCUAAACUAAAUCCACUAACCUGACUUAGCUAUGUUUUCCUAUGUCCACUAUCAACUAAAUAUCUAAGCUAAAUUCACUAAUCUGACUUAGCUACAUUUUCCAAUAUCUAAAAUGCACUAGACUAACUAACCUACAUUUUUCUAUGUCUCCUAUGUCUCGUAUCCACUAAACUAACUAUUAGAUCUAUCCACUGUACUAACUAAACUAACUAAACUAAGGAAUUACAAAAAAUAUCUCUAAUGAAACGACCAGCGGACCUUCAAUCUCCACUGCCUCCCCUCCUCCCUCCCUCCUUUUUCUUUCUUUCCUUCCCUUCUCCUCCCUCCCUUCCUUCCUUCCUUCCUUCUCCUCUCCCUCCCUCCCCUCCCUUCCUCUUCUCUCUGGCUCUCGAUCUGUCUCUGACAGCGAGCACAAAAGAAAGAGGCAAGCACCCUGAGCAGGCACGCGCGCUUUUAUAACGGCUGGUCCUGCCAGCUCAUUUGGAGGAAGGGCCUCACUUCUGCCGUUUGAAAUGACGGCCCGCCAGUUCUGCCAACUGAAGCGGCGAAAGAGUCUUGAAACCCCACGCCAUGUCAUCUCGUGGGCGGCCCGCCGGACGAGGGGGGCGGUAAGCUGCAUGCGGGAUCUUACCACCAUUUCACCUGGCAGUAGGUCCCUCUACCGCUGUUUCAACCGGCGAUGCUCCUUUACCACCGCAAAUUUUUCAUUCGACUGUUUAUUUCUGCUAAAAAAAUAAAAAAAUAAAAAAAUUCGGUGGCCUGACAUGAUUGGGCCCUCCCAAUAUGCCCACCAAACACAAACUGGUUGUGGCCCGGCCCGGCUUGCGUUCCUUAACGGGUAGCUAUCCCGUCUUCCCCAGCGCUGGCGAUCUCCACUGCAGCCGCCUUCCGUUUCCACCGCUCCGCCUCCGCCCUCCACGAUUUGCGCCACUCUUUCCCAAUACCGGCGGCGACCGGCUUAACUACGGACAUCGCUGCGGGACCCCAUCUGGGCGCGUCCGCCGCCAUGGGUGGAAGCGCCUGGGUGGUUCGGUUGGCUUCCUUUCUUGCUCUUGGUUUGGUGCUCGACUCCGUCGAGGCCAGCCGCGGGGAUAUUGAUCCGCGGUACAGGUGAGACGCAUCUUUCUGUGGAUCAUGAAUUUUGACUUCUCCAGCAGCGUCCAUUAUUCUUGCGUGAAUUAUUUUCUGCGGGUAAGUCGUCAAGCAGACAUUGACUAGUCUGUGGGAUUUCAGUAGUUCUUGUGCAGACAAAAUGUGUUCAUGGUUGGACUCUUGUUGAUCAUUAAUCCUAGUAGUUAGCAGCUACCAUAAAUCUUGGACAGGACAUAUCACUGCUUGUCCGCUCAUCCUUUAAGAUGCGUUGCUGUUUGAAUCGUGGUCGAUGGCUAAUCCCAUGUAGUAGCUAGUUGGCUACAUAAGAAACAUAUUCCAAAUUGAAAGGCCUCCUCCAAAAUGGAUCAAAUCUCCUAAAGUAAAAAAAAAAUAUAUCAAUCUCUGUAGUAAGUCACCAACUCAUCAUUUAGUUAAGUAACUCACUUUCUAAUUUCUAUGACAAGUGGAAGGCGUGUCAUCCUAUGACAAGAGAUGUGAAGCAAUACUAAAUUAAUUUUACUAGAACAGGGCUUAUUGCCUGGUAUUGUAACAGCAUGUGGGUCCUAGCAAACCGUAAAACACUUCUUGGGGAACUAGAAACUUGCGCUCAAUGAUUUCUUGUUUGGAGUUGGUGGAAUGUUAUGAAUUAGGUGCGCUUAGCUGGUUAUGCACAUCGAAUUUACUUUAUUAUGGCAACCCUUUUAUUUGUUCCUUGUCUAAUAUAUUGGAUUUGCAAUUCCUAUCGUACUCUAUGAUUUAUAUGAGAAAAUCACUUGAGUGGUGUGAUGUGAAUACCUGGUCUUUCGCAAACUGUGAGUGGCAAAGUGUUCUUGUAGCCCGUAGCUGAAGUCGAAAGUGGUAGUAUGGCUUUACUGCUCUAGAAUCUAGAGGGACCGAGGGGGUAAUUUUCACAUUUAUACUGUCGACAGAUUAUAACAGUUUUCAUCCUUUUGAUGUCUUCAGAGGUACAUAUAUAGAUAGUAUUAAGCAUUUUGGUACCUUUGGAACCGUUCAGAAAAGUCAACGAUUGUCUAGCCCUUUGAAUUGGAUUAAAAUCAGAGUAAAUCCCUGUAGGUUAUACUCAAUAAGUCAAUGACUCAAUGUUAUUGAUAGUGACUGUUAGUCGGGAUUCGGGGAAAAAAUUGUCCCUGCCACCCUGGUACUUUAAGGAGCACGCCAAGAGACUUUGAGUCAUUUUGUACCCAUGCAGGUACAUAUAAAUAUUAAAUACCCAAUGCUCUCCUAGGGAGAGAGGUCAUAAACUCCUUGUUAACCACCAUAUACUCAUUUGUCAUUUCUUGCUAAUUCAAAACCUUCAGCCUUCAGCACGUCUGGUCUAUUUGUCCCAGGGGGUUAACCAGUCCAGCCAUUUGCAGUUAUGGCUUACACUAAUGUUCCCAUUUGCUUGGUUGUGAUUUUGUAGAAUAGUCAACUUAUUGUAGAUCCUGGCUUGCACCAAUUACUCUUGAUCUGUGCUAGUCUGUGAGAAUGCAGUAAGGUUUGAAUAGAUUGAAUUGGACCUUAUGAGUUGUAUGUUGUGUUGGUAACUGCACUAGCUUAUGUGUGGGCCUGUUUGGUUGGAGGUUUGAGCAUUGUGCCUGAGAAAGUGCUGCCAGAAUGCCAGAAAUUUUUUAUGUAUUUUUCCUGGCCAGACUAAAGUGUCACCAUUCAUAUGUAUCCAGUUCCCGAUUGAGAAGUAAUAAAAGAAAAGAUAAAGAAGCAUCCACAAGGUGGGGUGUGAUAUGCAAUUACUGAAAUGUGAGUAAUUGAUGUGAGAGGUUUGCUUGAGUGUUGAGUCAGGUGACCACCUUUGUACACCUAAGCAACAAAAUAUGUUACAGACACCAAACAUAGUACAGGCAGCCACCAGGAGGCCAAAAUAUUGUCUGUGUUAGAUGACUAAAAGAAAGCUCUGUAAAGCUGGCUUUGAAGUUCAAUCCAUGCAUUUGCUGAACCAAAUCAUAGUUACAGGCUUACAGCAGCCUAGCUAGGCUAUUUGCCAAAGUUCAGUCAAUGAUGUGUGCUGUAAUCUCCAAAUUUCUUAGAUAGAUGCAUGUGAGAUAUGCUUAAAGGUACUAGAACCCCUUUUUCCUUUUAUGGUGAUAUUCUGUCUUUGCAGUAUAUAUUUCUUGUAGGCUCUUUUCAUUUUGCAUACGUUAUUACCAAUAUCGCUCUUGGGCCUUUGAAAGUGAUUUUUUGUAAUAUUGCACAUCAUUUGAUUUCAUGAAACAUUAUCUGUCCAUCCUAGUUGCGUGCUAACAUACUACCAUUUACUGCGAGUGUGAUGAAUUGCUUCCACUUACUACCAUUGUUUAUGGAAAUCUUUAUUCUGCUGAUGAACAUUCAGAACCUGCGUGAGGGAGUGUCAAACUACAGGGAUCAUUGGGGAGAAUAUCAUCAGCCACUGCCAGUCCAAAGAGAACAACACAUCUGUUGGUGGUUCUUGGUACAACCAGGAACAAAUUUACAUGCAGUGGAAACAACUGAAUUGUAGGACAGAUUGUCGAUAUCUCUGCAUGAUGCAGAGAGAAGGGGAACGGCAAUCACUUGGUCUGAGUCCUGUUAAAUAUCAUGGAAAGUGGCCGUUCUUACGUGUUUCUGUGUUCCAGGUAUGUCUUGUGCUGACGUGAUCCUGAUUCCUGAGUGAAACAACUUUUUCAUUUAGUUCUUGAUGACAUCUCAACUAAAUCUGAUGCCAUCAGGAACCUCUUUCAGCUGCACUAUCUGCAAUCAACCUAUUUAUGCACUUCACUGGCUGGAUUUCAUUUUUUCUUCUAGUGAAUUACAAAUUGCCUAUUAGACCCCAGACCAAGAGAACUUGCUAUGAAUAUACUAGCUUAUGGCAUAUCUAUGCAAUCUUAACAAUGAAUGCAUGGUUCUGGAGCUCUAUAUUCCAUAGUAGGUAUGAAGUUGCCCAGAGCCUUCAAUAUAUAUUUUCUGAAACUUAGAGAUACAUGUACUACUAUAAUCUGUGGCAUCUAAUUUCAACAUCUUUUUUUCUGCAAGAGAUAUUGACUUGUCUGAGAAAUUGGACUACUCUGCAGCUGUCGCCCUGCUUGGGUACUCUUUAAUCCUUUCAUUGCUAAGGACUUUCAGUGUCAAAGAUUAGGCUAGCAGGGUGAUGUUUGCAGCACCUAUUUUGGCAUUCGUUACAACACAUAUAUUGUAUCUUAACUUCUAUGAGCUUGACUAUGGUAAAGUUGCUUUCAUUUGUUGCUAAACAUUUGUCAUCCCAUACAAAGAUCAAUCUCACUUUUAUAUCAAUUGCUUCUUUUUAAAUUUUAAUAGAUUUAGCAAUCUGCGUUGCCUAGUUUACCAAGUCUUUUGUAUUACAACAACCAUAUAUGCCACCUUUGUUUACAGAUGUAUAUUUCUUAAUAAAAUCCAUCACAAGAUGUUGUGAAUAGUAAUGAUUUUCUUCAGUUCUGCUUCACACAAAGUGGUUGCAUCUAUCUGAUGAUUUUUUUUAUCAGGAUGGAACAUGAAAGUUUGUGUGGUGAUGGCUGUGGUUCAACUUCUGACGUGGGCAAUUUGGGCUGGUGUAACCCGACAUCCAUCACGACUCAAGCUUUGGAUGGUUAUUUUUGGAGGAGCACUGGCGGUGCUUCUUGAACUCUACGACUUCCCUCCGUACAUGGGCUAUGCGGAUGCCCACUCACUGUGGCAUGCGAGCACCAUUCCACUCACAUAUCUCUGGUGGAGCUUCAUUAAGGAUGAUGCCAAAUUCCGGACCUCAACUCUCAUGAAGAAGGCAAAGUAAGCAAAAUGACCACAGAUUUCAUUGUCCACUCAAGAAACAUUGGGACACUUGUGCUAUCAGACAUAACAAAACUUCCAUAUAUUCAGCCCCUUGAUGCUCCUGUUGUCAAUACGAAAAGACAUCUCCAUGCACUCAUGAUUUUGGUCCACAAACUCAGCAUCUUUCGGGGGCAUAUUCUGCCCUUAUGAUCUAUCAGUUGAUUGACUGAAUGAAAUUUCUGUGGUUGAAUUGGCAUCAUUUCUUUUUAGAUCUCGGCGCUUGUAAGCUUCUUUUGUCAUUGCCAAUUCAGUUUUGUAAAAUCAGGCUGAACAUCGUUGGUGUGUCUCCUAUGGUGUGCAACCUUUGUAAGAUCCUGAAGCCCUCUUCACACAAAUACAAACUUAUGGUCAUCAUGAAUUCCAACGUUUCGAAGAUUAUAUUUACAUGUGCGAGGUUUGAAACAUAAGGGUACAGUGGCUGGCAUAUAAGGCGAGCCUGGGUGACAUCUUAAGCCAACAUUCACGUAGAAGCACCAUGUAAACUCCUAGUGGAUUCUGUCGGUUUCAGUUGGAUCUUGCAAAAGGGAAUGGGGACGUCCUGCCAUGCCCACUAGGAGCCUGUCUGGUCGGGGGCACGAAUGGGGAGAUAGUGGCUGGAAAGUUUCGCACUCUUGGAACUUUGGAUGGUGGUGUGUGAUUUAUGUCACUGAGGACUCAGUAUUUGAGCAGUUUCCUGGAGGAUCAUGCAAAAUUCUCUCAAAGUUCCGUGUGAAGUAAAAAUCGGAUCCACUACACUUCAUUGGUGAAAGAUGAUAACUUCAGGGAUAUAUAAUAACGAUUAAGAAGUGUAACCACACAUUUUUUUUUCCUUCGAAGUGGUUGGUUACCUGAUGAAGUUCAAUUUGCGUUGUGCUGUCGCAGGUGUGUUUAGUGCUAAUCGCAUUUAUCAAAAAAAAUGCUUAGUGUCCCUGUCAGCAGACAUCACUAUUUUGAUGAAAGCCAACUCCGAUCAUUCUGGCACUCAGAAGAACAACCCUUUGCAGUGGCCUGUGUUUAAUUUGUCUUUUUCUCAAGCAAUAAACAACUCUAAACUGCAAACCUGAAGGAAGAUAAAUUGUUCGAAGAGACCCCAUACGUCACGUAUUCUUCGUCAAGUAAGCAGUAACCAAUUUGGCAUAAAAACUCGUUAGCCGUAUGUAGAUAUUUUGCUACCAUGAAUUUCAUAUCGAUAUUGUAAGAAUGUCAACAGCUGGUUACCACAAUUAUGUACUAAGACUUUGGAAGGUCAAAAUGCAGCGAUCAGCUGGGGGACAAGCCUGCAAGCUAAUUCCAUCUACAGGCUCUACCGCUCUAGUCCCUUUCGUGUAUGUGCCAGCUCUUGUGUGAUGCUGCUUAAUUUGUGCUGCUUUGCCUAUCUAACCAUCGCAGUUAUCCACAGCUGUUCACAACUGAAGUAUACCAUGAUAUUUUGAUUCGAGUUCUUGCAUCGAAGAAGUGUGUAUUUCUUUUUGAACUGGCAUUAUCUGCAUUUUGUUUUACUUACAAGGGAAAAUACGUCUGCAACUCCAAAAGAGGUUCUAAGAUCAUGCAAAAUUCUCCCUCUUGUCCAGUUGCUCAUGAGUCAAUGACAUGCCAUGCUUCAUACAAUAUUAUUUAUCUUUGUAACCACUUGCAUCAGAUGUAAAAAUGCUUUUUAAACACGGACACAGUCUCAUGAAUCAUGAAUGCACGCACACGCGCUCCACCCUACAAGCAUGUCUGAUAGCCGAACCAUCCAUAGGCACGUCAUACCAUAAGAGAAUAGAGCUAAACCAUACUUUUUUUUAAUUACUAGUUUCCAGUUAAGUGCAGAUACCAGCAUAUAACCUAUGGAUUGGUAUUGAUCAAGUGUUAAGUGUUGAUACAUAUUUUGUAUGACCAGAACAAAGUAUAUCUAACAUGAAAGACCAACAGAAUAAAUUUUAUUUUGUUUUCAUCCACUUUACGAAAUAUUUAGUACUCAAUCUGGUCACUUUUAAUUGACAUUUCAGACAAGCAAUGAAACUACAUACGAGACAAGAGAAUGAAACUACUACAAGACAAAAUUGAUGGAGUUAGUACCUUCGCCUGAAAAAUAUUCUGCCGUGUAGCCAUCUCUAAUGAGCUGUAAUAAGUCCAAGAAUACUAUAUGUUACAAGUAAGAUCUAGAUGCUAUCUGCCACUUUGUUUAUUUGACAUGCAUGCUUCUCACUGAAAACUUAUUUGGCACGAUAAGCUCCGUAUACAACAUGCUAAUUGUAUUUAUAUGUAGCAGUCUAGCUAAUCGUUUCAACAAAAAAAAAACUUUAUUGGAAUCUGGAAGCAUGUAACAUGCUUGCAGGGUUUAGAUCAUCUCAUAUUUUUUUUGAAGCCAUAGUCAGGCUUUCUUUCAACAGUGUGGGAGAGGUAAGGUCUUUUUUGAGUGAAAAAUUAAAACGUGGAGAAAAGGUAGUUCGUAUAGUGAUCUUGAUAGUCAUCUUCUUUCAUGAAUCUUGCUCAAGCCGGCAUAUUGCAAAGAAAUAAACAUGUGUCAUCUGAAUCUGUGAACAAAUGUGCAUAUAUUCAACCCAUUUAAUCAAGCAAAACAAAAAUAGUCCGCAUGCUUCCAUUAUUAACAAAGGGAUCAAUUGGAAAAGCUCGCAUAGUAUAACCGUGCAUACUCAUAGGCUAAUAAUCCGUAAAGGAUCUUUGUUAGAAAAAGAUCAGUUGUACCUUCGCCACUAAGGAAUAGCUUAUCGUACUUCAAUUUGGCAUUACUUUUAGAGCUCUUGCUUGUAUUACUUACCAGUCUCCUGCUACUAGUGGAAGUCCAGGAUGAACUGGGACAACUCAACUCUUCUUUUCCCACUGUGGUUCCUGUUUAAAUCUGAAAUCGAUAUACUAGUGCACAUGCAUGUUGGAUGAUGGAAUUACUUCAAGAACCAAGUGUUGAUUUACGGUAUUUUCUCUAAAUUAAUUAGCUAAAAAUGGAUAAUGGAUAAAAGGUACCAUGAAUAUAGGGUGCAUUUGGAUGGUAAAAGCUACUUACAUGUUAACUGUAAAAGCCGGACCAAAAGCUAAUCUUUUGGAUCAACUAAAUAAAGCUUUCAAAAGCCAGAUCCCGCAAUCUUUUUUUUUUCUUGGCGAAAACAGAUCCCACAAUCUAGCUGGAUUCAAAAUCCACGAUAAUGCAUACGGAAAGCCCUUUCCCUUCCCCAAUCUCGACGAGAAAUUACAGGAAGUGCGUCCAGACAAAACGGAGGAGGAGGUACAGUAAUCGGUUCCAAUAUAGUAAACCUGAAUGAUUACUCUAACCCGUUUGUUUCCGUACGUACGUCCGUACCGUUUCAUCAGUCCCGCGUGGCAGAAUCCGCUCAUAAUUUGGAUUAGAUUAGAGGGGCAACCGAGCUGAUCGCCGCGUGGCUUCGCGCCGCCUCUCGUGGAAAUAGCUGUGGAGGAGGAGAGAGAAGCCAAAGAAGGAGCCAGGAAGGAAGCUGGAGGAAGGAACACCUCCAGUUCCAGUUGUGCGCAGAGGCCUCCGAGAGAUCCGUAUAAAUACACGCACACGUCCACCUCCAGGCACGCACCCAUCACUCUCCAAUACUCUACUUCCCAGUGGCCACCACCCCCAAAAGAUCAGCAGCGCCGCCGCCGCCGCGUCACUUCAGUUCAGGCUUGCUGUCCCUAAACUGGAUUCCAGCCAGGUGAGUUCGUCGACCUUGCUGUCCCUCUCUGUGUUCUCUGUCUUUCUUGGUAAUGCCAGUAUCUGCAAUGCCGUCCGCCGUGCGAAUUAAUAAGUAAGAUGCCCAUUUAAUCUCUCAGCAUAAACAUUGUUCGCGAUGUCUAGCUUCCUGGGUCCUUUUUUGCUAUUAAAUUAUAUUUUGCUGCUGCUGCCUUAACUGGGUUCCUCUGCUCCUGCUGUUUGCUACUAGUACUGUUUGCGCCUUGAAACGUAAACUUGAUCACACGACAGAGCGUACUAGUUUGCGCCUUUUGUGGCCGUGUCGUGGUUCAGUUUCAAGUACACGCGCAGCCAGCCUAAGAGGCCACUGGCUAACCAAUAAGUGUUUUCUUUCCAAAAAAUUGGCCACAACUUUUCCUGCAGCAUGCACAAACUUUACAGUACCUUUUUUUUUCUGGAAAGGAAAAAAGGAGAAAAAAAUAUCAACCAUCGCUGCCACGGGAUAUUACAAUUAUUGUCCACUGAGUAAAGCAUCAUGUAAUACCUCCAUUACGUACUAGUGUAAAUAGAGACACGACAGGAACGAAAUGUAGAGGUAGCCAGCACAUGAUGCUCGCAUCUUUCUGCCGUGGAAUAUGGUGAGAGUAGUAAUCCUGUGGUGGCCGCUGGCGCCGAGGAAACAAUCACUUCACAGCGAGAAAAAGGGAAGGAACGGAGGAUAGGAUUCCCUGGACAAUGCCCGGCACCUCCCAGUGGAUAGAUAGAUGAUAGAUAGACAUGCCACAUGCAUGUUGCAAGUACACACCAGUGGAUAGAUUGAUGCUCCAAAAGCAAACAGGUGGGUAAAGUACAUUUUUUUUAGCACAAGUCAGACGCGCACAGGCAAGGCCACGCACACGCAUCCUCAUGGAUCGUAUCUCCAGAUCGAGAGUUGCCAGUAAAAUUCGGACGAUUUGAAGAGGAGGAGGCUGGAGGCUAAACUCUUGUUGAAUUGGUAGCUAGUGGCCGAGGUUGCCGCGACGGCGCGUCAAGGUAGCUGGAGCCUGUGCGAGCUGCGUGACAAAACGGAAAAACCAGGAGCUGCUUGUUGGUACGCGCAUGCAUGCGUUGGCUGCGUCUGGAUGGGCGGACGUGCAUGCAUGGGAUUCCACGUCAGUCGCCUCGCUUGCCGGCCGAUUAUUAUCACCUGACGACCAACGGGCCGCGGCGUGCCAGUGGGCGCAGAUCGGACGACGACGACGACGACCCCCCCCCCCCCCCCCCCCCCCCCCACGCCGAACAAAAUCUCCGGCGAUCCUUGCUGCGUGCCCCUACCACGUGGCCCUGCGCCGUCUCUCCGUUUGGUCACCUAGCUGUUUUCCUUGCACUUUCGUUCCCCCACCGUGUCCGGUUUUGGUUUCCUUCCAAGCAAGUAGUAAGAUGACACGAAUUCACGAUGAUUCCGACUUGUUGAACCGUCAGAUCCGAGAUCCAGAUCAUCACACGGGUUACACGCUCGUGACCAGACGGAAACCACCGUGGGUACAGUACUACACAGUGCACGGACGGACGGGACGCGUGGUUUCACCCGCGGGCCGUGCCUGAGCCAGCGUAGGAACAGUUGUGAAGGAGGCGAUCGAGAAGCCGUGUGCAGGUCAUCGGGUGGCCAGGCAGGCAGCGUAUGCAAUGCAAGGCAGCCAUGUUUAGCGUCCCAAUCCAGCGAAGCAACACGCACGCGCGACAUUAUUAGUUCAUCAGCGUGGGGGGCGCCGUGCCCGUGGCUCGAGCUCCAGCUGCUCCUCCCGGCCCGGCGGCGAGCCCCCCUGCAGGCAAAGCCAUCGCGUGCCGGCUGCCGCCGUCGACGCAUGCAUCUCCAUUCCGAUCCGGUCCUCCCAGGUUAGCAUCCGCCUCCGUUCCGCUGGAUUGCUUGUCAAUUACUUGAAUACUUGUUAUCCCCUUCGCCUCGACGCCGGGCGAUUAGUAGUUAAUUAAUCGGUCCUAAUCGCGGCGGCCGUACGCCGUGGAGAAGACACGGUUUGCUUUAUUUUACUCUCGGCGUACUAGUAGCUAGCUGGCCGGGUAGCACGCCGCCGCCGCCGCGGCGCGCGCGCGCGUCCGACCGCGACGCGCCGAACGCGCGCGAGCGUGUGAUUGGAACUCCGCUGGACCGUGGCGCGGAUUACGGCGUGGAUUACGUGCCGUCGUCUACGUUGAUUGCCGAAGCGCGCAGACGACAACCUUACUGCUCCAGCUAAUCAGCAUCCUGCGUGAGGCCAGCUAAACCAUCCAUGGCAUGGACCGCUCGGUCAGCAGGUCGGUCGAUUCUGAUUUUGACCUCGUUUGUUUUAAAAUGCUUUGCACAAGAGAGACAUUCUGUGGCUGGCCGACCGAUCCAGACAUCAGUUCCGUACAUCACCAGUUGCGACCUGCUCCGCUCGAACCGGUCGCGGCGGCGAGACUUGAUCCGGCGACAGCGACGGCGAGCUCCUUCAUUUGCUUGUCCUACUACUGUAGUACUAGCAUGCGUCCGCCCGUCCGGGGCCGACGAUGAAGCCUUUUCCAUGCUCGGUCGGUCGCGUCCUAGGCGAUGGCGACUGCCUGCUGGCCCGCCGCGCCGCAUGCCGCCUCCUCUCCGAUUUGAAGUUUCCAUGCACACCUGGUGCGCUCCCGCACCGUACACAGCCCUCUAUGGCCUGUCGUCCACACUUGGUCCUCGCCGGUGGGUCCCCGGCCGGCCCGGGAGCGGCGCCACUGCCACCUACACCUCCGAUGCCAAGCUAGAGGCGUACAGUGCCAGAUUUUAGCAUAUUUUCCAGCCAUACGCCGCCACGAGUUUUCCCAUUCCGCCAAGAGCCUCGCUCAUGAGUUGGAAUCAUGGCACUUGGAUCGGCCAUUGGACGCGAGCCGUCACCGGCCAUCUUAGCACUUGACCACUGCUUAUACAUAUGCAAAACACAAGAGAGUAUAGCACUCCAUGGUGUGGUGUUUUUGUCCUUUGCUACCUCAACGGUGUGACAUCCACAGACGAAUUUAGGGUGGCCCUGCAGCCUAAACAAGAAAAAAGAUGCUAUAUUGGUGUCAUUUUUAGCUUGUGUGUAAGAGAAUUUGAGGUGCAUGCGCCUUAAUCUGAUUAUACGUGGUUGGCCACCCAUGCAUACACAACCAAGUGAGAACGACUCCUGUCGAUCUAUCGCAAUAAAGGAUUAAAGGGGAUCCUUCUCAUUAAGAUUUUGAUUAACUGCUGCCUUUUGCUAUCACACAGUUGAACCGUACCUAUGAUUAUUGUAAAAUUGAUCGGAGGCCCAUCUAAAUCGUAGUACACGACUGCAAGCAAACUGGACCUGGAACGAGUAGUGCAUCACCUAGCUAGCUGAUCUCCUGCCGAUAUUUUCGUGUCACGCCCGCGGCAUUCCGUCACCUCGUUAGUUUCUGUCCGAAUACCAGGGAAAGGUUGGUUACGACUUCCUCUUAUAUAACGCUCGAUCAGGCCAUCGAUUACAGGUGUAGCACAAGUGUACCGUCACGCAACAGAGGCAACGGACGCCUUGGUUUCCUGUUGCACGUUUCCACAACUGGCAUCUUGUGCUGACACGCACAUUUGUUGCAACCGUCCCAGUUCAGCCAACAGGCUCAGCUUCUGUUGCUAGUGCCAUUGCCACCGAUGCAACCAUUCAGCAGCUACUGCCUACUGGCCAUCAUCAUCAUCACCAGCGCCUCUGGACGCCUGGCCAUUUUUAAAGGCUCCAAACCCGUUGCCUGCACAUGCUCCGGUCUCCCUACCUCCUCUCCUCUGCUCGCUUUCUUUUCUUCAUCGGAAAUGUUCUGCUGCUGAGCUUGAGAUCGAUCAAACCAAUUGGGAUUUGUCCUAGCGCCCUGCCAAAUCCAUUCAUCAUCCAGCUGGGGGCGUCGACACUUGUAAGUUCACAGAUGGUUCCUCUGUUGUUCAUCUUUUCUUUGCUCCUCCCAACAGUUCGGUGACGACUUUUUUUUUCCCCUCCUGUUGAGUUCUCAUUGUUUGUCUUCUCUUUAAGUACUUGAUUGAGUUUUCAGCUGGUCUCGUCUCCUCACACACACCAGACGUGUGCUGAUUGUGUAUUUCUGUUCUGUGCGCGCCGCGCAGGUCUCAGUCAGGACAGUCAGCUGAGUGAGCCAUGGAGGCGGCCAACGGCACCACCACGCCCCGCGCCGUGCCGCCGCUUCUCGCCGAGGUCGAGGUCUCCAACCUGCCCGGCUUUGACCUCACCCCGACGCCCAGCCCGCGGCCCCAGGAUGCCGCCGCCGCCGCCACCUCCAGCCCGCGCCCGCUGCCCAGCCCCAAGAAGCCGUCCCGCCCCGGGGUGCCGCCGCUGGACCGCGUGCCGCGCCGCAGCGAGGUGGUGUUCCCGCCGCUCGACUCCCCGUUCCAGGCGCCAGGCUACCGCUCCGUGCAGCCGGGCUCCAUCAGCCUCCCCGCGUCGCCCAGCGGCUUCGGCGUCCCCGUGGCCAUCCCCGUGGGGCCGAACGGCGGCGGUGACACGGACGGACUCCGGAGGCAGGCCAUGGCGAACGCCGCGGCGCGCGGCGAGGCGCAGCAGCCGCAGGAAAAGCAGGGAGGUGGGAGCGUCCGGUUCGCGCACCAGCCGGACAAGGUGGUGUUCCGAUCGCAGCCCAUCCCAGGCGGCCAGCCCGCGGGCCCCGGCAGCGCCCGGGCGGGCCGCGCUGGUAGCAGGGGGUCGAUGAGCCGGGACAAGCGCUACGACUCGUUCAAGACCUUCUCCGGGAAGCUGGAGCGGCAGCUGACCCACCUGGCCGGCGCGGCGGAGGUGCGCGAGGAGGGGGAGGACGGCAACGGCGACGACGACGACGACGCCAUCACCGCCAGCCGCAGCACGUCCUUGCCCAAGGUCGACCGCUUCUUCGCGGCGCUGGAGGGCCCCGAGCUCGACAAGCUCAAGUCGUCCGAGGAGCUGGUGCUGCCGUCGGACAAGACGUGGCCGUUCCUGCUCCGGUUCCCGGUGUCGGCGUUCGGUAUCUGCCUGGGGGUAAGCAGCCAGGCGAUCCUGUGGAAGACGAUCGCCACGUCGGCUCCCACCAUGUUCCUCCACGUCGGCACCAAGGUGAACCUGGUGCUCUGGUGCAUAUCCGUGGCACUCAUGUGCGCCACCGCCGCCGUGUACGCGCUCAAGAUCGCCUUCUUCUUCGAGGCCGUCCGGCGCGAGUACUACCACCCGAUCAGGGUGAACUUCUUCUUCGCGCCGUGGAUCGCGUGCCUCUUCCUGGCCAUCGGCGUGCCGCCGUCGGUGGCGACGGAGCUGCCGCGGUGGCUGUGGUACGCGCUCAUGGCGCCGGUGCUGAUCCUGGAACUCAAGAUCUACGGGCAGUGGAUGUCCGGCGGGCAGCGGCGGCUGUCCAAGGUGGCGAACCCGUCCAACCACCUGUCCGUGGUGGGCAAUUUCGUGGGCGCGCUGCUGGGCGCGUCCAUGGGCCUCAAGGAGGGCCCCAUCUUCUUCUUCUCCGUGGGGCUGGCCCACUACAGCGUGCUGUUCGUGACGCUGUACCAGCGGCUCCCCACCAACGAGACGCUGCCCAAGGAGCUCCACCCGGUGUUCUUCCUCUUCGUGGCGGCGCCCAGCGUGGCGUGCAUGGCGUGGGCGAAGAUCACCGGCGAGUUCGGCUACGGGUCACGUGUCGCCUACUUCAUCGCCAUGUUCCUGUACGCGUCGCUGGCGGUGCGGAUCAACUUCUUCCGCGGGUUCAGGUUCUCGCUGGCGUGGUGGGCGUACACGUUCCCGAUGACGGGCGCCGCCAUCGCCUCCAUCCGGUACUCGACGGAGGUGGACAACACCUUCACCAAGGCGCUCUGCGUCGCGCUCUCCGCCAUCGCCAUGCUCACCGUCACGGCGCUCUUCGCCACCACGCUCGUGCAGGCCUUCGUGCUCCGGAACCUCUUCCCCAACGACAUCUCCAUCGCCAUCACCGAGCGCAAGAUGAAGCCCAUCAUGGAGCUGCACGAGGGCCAGGGAGAGGACGGCAGCACCAACAGCAGCAACGACAUCGAGGCCGGCGCCAAGUGAUGGACCCCGCCGGAUCGAGCUGAAUGCACGCCGGAGUCGCCGAGCUUCACGUACGCCGUGCGUGGGGGCAUGACGCGACCGGGUUCUUGGGUAGCUUGGAUCGUUCAUUCCGGGGGGCAGUUCUCGGAUUGCCUGCUUGGCUUAGUGUGGUGUAUAAAAUGGAGGAAGAGCUUUUGAUCGAUCGAUUGCAGCUAUAUUAGUACUCGGUAAAACUACUACAUGUACAGAGUGUAUUGCGUCGUAUGAAAUGGUGGGUGAUUGUCGUGGAAGAUUAUGCAUCCGUGCAAUGUCAUUUUGCUUUAGCAUCCCAAUAUCUCCCUCCCUAAAGCUGAAUUUUUUUUAUGAUGCUGCUGUGGGGGACUCAGCUCAAGGAAACUGAAACCAACGAGGACUGAGGCAAGUACUGGUACUGGGAGUCCUUUGGGCCUUGACUUCAUUGCAGGAGCAGGAAAAAUUGAAUGAUGCUGUCGUGUGGUGGAAAACUGAAGUAAAGAAAGAAAGAAAGAAAGAAACCAAAGAGGAGGACUGAGGCAAGUACUGUGGGCCUCUUGACUGCAUUGCAGGGGCAGGUGAGUGAUGAUCUCUCAUUGACCACACUGCUACAGCCCUACAUGCAGGUACCGUAUUGAUCUCUCCGCUUGUUUGGGCCAGUGUAUUGAUUUUGAAGUUGCUUAAGUGAUCGAUGGAUAGAAGAAAACAACAUGUUAAGAUUCGAGAAAGAUCUCAUGGUUCUAUAGCGAGGACACACCGGAUGUGAAAGAUUUGAGCUCGUGCUGCAACUGCUCGAUUCAACCAGGCCAAGGAUCCAACGGACGAGCUUCGCUGUUGGCGUGGCUCAACGAGCGCACGAUUUUGUCCCGAUUCAGGGUCAGCUUCUCGUAGAUUAAAGGUAGUUUUGGCCCAUUAAAUCACAACCAAACAUAUCAAUCCCAUUGUACUCUGCUCGGGAAAUCCAUUACAACGCUUGAGGAUGUUGACAAGUCCACCGCACGGAUCUCAUGGCGUCUGUGGCGAAGGCUUAUGUGUCUUUCGUUGAGAAUUCGAUAUGCCUUGCUAAUUUCUUAACCAUAUUGGUUUCUUGAUUCUUUGGUGCUUCCUUAUUUAAUUCACUUGUUUAAAAAACCUAGACUCGGUAGCAACAGUCCAUAAUAAACUCAUAUAAACCACGUGAUUUAUGAAGUUGUUGCGAUAAUAUUUUUGUGAGGAGCACUUCCAUUUUUGUGUAACCCAGAGAUAAAACCUCACUGGAGCUAACCCUCCUCGUCCUCGAUUGCAUGGUAUUCGCGUUGUCCUGGCGGGCGGCCAUCCGUAUCCUACUCGGAUUUGCAUGCACGCCCAGACCGUGCGGGUUCAAUCAGCCGAGCGCCUCGCACACAUCUAUGAUCUACCGUGGUAAUAAGCGAUGCCACCACGCAAACGCCGCCGAACAUGCCCGUGCUACGGCUCAUCUGCUGGCGCUUCCGGCGGAUGUCGUGCUCCAGAUCGCCGCGCGCUCCGACGUCGCAGCCGUCGUACGGUGCGCCGCCACCUGCAAGCUCCUCCGGCGGGAGAUCCUCAGCCCGGCCUUCAUCCACAGCGUCUGCCGACCGCCGCCCGACGGCGUCGGCGUCGUGCCGCCCAGGCUCGUGGGCUUCCUCGGCGGCAGCAGGGCCUUCUCCCUCGCCCACCCCAAGACGCCGGCCGCCAAGAACCACCUCGCUCCCUUCGUUCGCCGCAGCGCCGCCGGUCUCCUGAAGGAGUACGAGGUCGUGACGACGCGCGGCGGGCUCGCCGUCCUGGAGCGCCGCGAGAUCAACCUGCGGCGGCGAUCCGAGCGCCGGUCCGACCUGUGCGUGUACGACCCCAUGACCGGCGACCGCGCCGUCUUCCCAUUCCCGCCGGACAUCCGCUGGAACCCCUUCAUCGGCGCCGUCUACACGUACGUCGUGGUCACCGCAGCCGACGGCGCCAUCGGCUGCCCCUUCGUGCUGCUCGCGGCGGACAUGACCAGCCUCCUCGACUUCGGGAGUUCGGUCAGGGUGCAGACCGUGUCGCCGUCGUCGGACGCCGGCGGCGGGCAGUGGGGGCCCCGCAAGCUCGUCAGCCAUCGCGGGACGGGGCGGUGCCUCGCAGACACCUUCAACUCGGCGGUCGUCCUCCGCGGCGUCGUUCACUGGCUCAUGUACAGCGGCGACGACAGCGUGUUCACCUACGACGUCGUCACCGGCGCGCCCGGGACGGUCGGGCUCCCCUGUGGGCUCCGGCGACCCGCGGAUACAUACUUGCUAGAGGCGAAGCUGGGGGCGACGCCGGACGGCAGGCUGACGUUGCUCGUCGCCAACGAGAUGAGCGUCUCGCUCUGGGUGCGGACGGCAGCUGGAAGCUGCUGUUGGCCCGUUUGGGAGCGGCACGCGCUGGUAGACACGGAGGCGCCGAUCAGGUCGGUGUUGGACCCGGGGGGCCGCCAUGGAUUCGAGAUUAGGGGUGAGGUUAAGCUGAUGAACUUCGGGGACCAGAGGAGUGGCGCGGAGUUCUUGCGAGUCAAUGUAGCUAAUGGCCGUUCUGGCGGUUGCGACGUGCUCUUGGUGCUCGACAUGGAGACGAGGGAGAUGCGCAAGGUUAGGUGGAACGGGGGAUUGCUGCACGAGGUGGACCUCGCGUCUCGGCUCUCCGCCAUGAAAACCUUCUAGCUUUCCUUCUGAUUGAGUGAACAUGUUAAUGAUACUCCAGUAAUUGACACUUCAGACGUGCCACGCCAUGCUUGUACAAUAUUAUAUAUUCAGUGUGUAUCACGGGGAGAGGACUGAUGGAGAGCUGCGUGAAUGCACUCUUUGCCCACAUAACCAGUUUGAGUGCUGUUUUUGCCACAAAAGUGCAGGGCUAAUGUGAUCAUUGGCUUGAAUAAAUAACAGCAACAUGACGUUUUUUAAAUUAAAUAUAGUUGAGAAACCAUAACACAUGAAAAUGACGAGCGCUUUAAAUUCCAUUGCAAAAUGGCUCUCUAGUGAUCCUCUUCAUCUUUUUUCUUCUUUGCCAAAAUGCCUCAAAGUCGGAGGGGUUGGGAAUGUGGAGUAGUUAUUAAUACUCCAUCCAUCCUAAAUUGCACGUCAUCUUAAGCUUUUCUAGAAAUAUAUAGUAAAAAUUAUGUAUUUAGAAAACUUAAAAUAAUUUACAGUUUGAAAACAGAGGGAGUAAAAAACAUAAUUUGGGAAGGAAAGAAAGUUUCAAAGCAGGAAUUUUGCAGAAAUUCCUUUGAGUGCAUCCUUACAAUUAGGCUAGGCCCAAACCUAGCCCAGUCCAAUUCAUGAUUCAGCCCAUUCCAUCUCUACAUGGUCUUCCCCAGAAGCAUCCGCCGCCGCCACUCACACCAUCAUUGGACGGCCGCGCGGGAAAACCCCCAAACGCACCUGCCGUCUCCCGCGCCCGCCGCGAGCUCGCCGAAAUGCCAAUGCCACCGCCGCCACCGCCGCCACCGCCGCCGCGGAAGGACUUCCCGGCGUUCCCGUUCGCGCCGUACCCGAUCCAGGCGGAGUUCAUGUCGUUCCUCUACGGCGCCCUCUCCUCCGGCCCCGGCGCCCUCGCCCUCCUCGAGAGUCCCACCGGUCAGUCGCCGACCACGGACCACCACAUCCUCCCUCCUCCCUCCCUCACCGCCAAACCCUAACGGUUACCGGCCUCGCUCCCUUUCUGAUGCCCCCCUGCAGGCACCGGCAAGACGCUCAGCAUCAUCUGCAGCGCGCUCCAGUGGCUCCUCGACCGCCGCGACGCCGCCGCUACGGCGCCGGCCCACCCCAGCGGCGGCGCUGGCCCCGGGGAGGACGACGACGAGCCCGACUGGAUGCGGGAUUUCACGCCGCUGCCGCCGGAGAAGGAGAGCACGAAGAAGAAGCCGAAGCCUCCGGCGAUGAGGAAAGCGGCGGGUUCGGGGAAACCCGACGGAUUUGGGGAGGAAGGCGCCCGAGACGACGAUGGGGAGUUCCUGCUGGAGGAGUACGAGAGCGACGGCGAGGACGGCGCCAGGCACGGGGUGGGGAAGCGUGCACAUUGCGGUAAUAGCAGCAGUAGCGAUGGCGAGGAGUUGGAUGAGGAAGAGGAGGAGGAGGUGACGCCCAAGGUUUACUUCACGAGCCGCACGCACUCGCAGCUCUCGCAGUUCGUGGGGGAGCUCAAGAGGACGGAGUUUGCAGGGAGGAUCAGGACGGUGUGCUUGGGGUCCAGGAAGAACUUGUGCAUCAACAAGGGUAAGGGGAUCUGUUAAAGUUGCUGUGUUUCCUUUGAGGAGGCGCCCCUGUGUGUGAGUGAGUUGAUGUGUGAUGUGUUUGCCUGCAGAUGUUCUGAAGCUGGGCAGUGCAAACCGGAUUAAUGAGAGGUGCUUGGAACUGCAGAAGAACAAGAAGAGCAGCAAAAUUAAGGUCAGGUGAUCUUGAUUGGUUCUUUAUUUGCUUGUACUACUUGUUUGGAGUGCUUUCCUGACAGUCAUUACAUAUUAUCCUUUCACCUGAGUGGUGAAUAUAAUUAUUGUUUAACAAUUUUUCAUGUUUAGGUGACGCUAAAACUCUGCUGCAAUAUCCAACCUGGUUGAUUACUACUAAUUCAUUUGAUGGCCAUGAAUAUGCAGGUUGAGGAUGAUAAAAGAAAGGCGCGCCAAGCAAAGAACUCUUGUGGGUGCCCAAUGUUAAGGAAUAGAAGUCUACAGAAAGAGUUCAGGAGCAAAGUGUCAAACCAGGGUGCAUUAGACAUUGAGGAUUUCGCACAUAUAGGAAAGAAGAUCGGAACAUGUCCCUACUAUGGUUCGCGGGACAUGGUCCGUUCAGCUGACCUUGUAGUCCUUCCUUAUCAAUCUUUGUUACUGAAGUCUGCUAGAGAAUCACUUGGCCUUAAUCUGAAGAACAGUGUUGUCAUCAUAGAUGAGGCUCACAACUUAGCUGAUUCCCUGACCAACAUGCACAAUUCAAAGAUUACAUCAUCUCAGGUUACUCUCACGUUUUAUUCACCUUUCCAUCGCAAUCUGGCAAUAGUAUUUUGCUCUGUGUGGUAGAUAUCUGUAUCUGCUAGCAAUCGUAUUGCUUUCCAUUUCUUUCAAGAAGCAUAAAUAUCUAUUACGAUCCACACUUUUUAUUAUUUACGAUUCAUUGCUAGGACAAAUGUCAUAUAGCUCCAUGUUUUGUAUCCUGAUGCACAUUCAGUAGUGUUGUCAAAACACAAAAAGGGAAUUUAGGAAUUUAGGCAUAUAAAGGGGUCCUAAACAAGGAGGAUCCUUCAGUGGUGAAACUUACCGUGGCUUGCCGACAUGGUUGUAUGGCACAUGAUAAAAUUCUAAAUAUGGUCUUGUCCGGUUCAUGUUCAGAAUUUAAUGUUGAAAACAAAAUUCAGUCAGUACAUGACUUGAGCAUUCCUUCUAAAUUGGCCUUUUUAGUGUUUCCCUAGCCUAAAAUUGGGAUUGUAGCAUUGCUUCUGUAAUGUGCUGCUUACAAUUACGAAAAUAGUGAUGUUCAGAAAACAAACUUCAUUAUCUGAUUCUCAUGUUCCAAACUUUGCUUCCUGAUAUUCAUUUUCCUUUUGGAUUGCAGUUGAAGGCAGUUCUUUCCCACCUGGAUGCAUACCUUAAUAGAUUUGACAAUGUUUUGGGAGCUGGGAAUCGACGAUACAUCCAGACCUUGACAGUUUUAACAAGGUCUUUCCUACGAGCUUUGAUCAACAAUCAGGAUGGUGCCAGCACUAUGUCUUCUAUGACCAUAAACCAAUUCUUAUUUUCGCUUGACAUUGAUAACAUAAACAUAGUAAAACUUUGUCAGUAUGUAAAAGAAAGCAAUAUAAUUCACAAGGUGAAGAAUUCUUCCACAAUGUACUCAUUCAAUUGCCCGAUGCACAUGCCAUCUGACUGUUGUUUUAUCAGGUUAGUGGAUAUGCCAACAAGAUAACUAGCAUCCAAGAUGGUGUAAAUCAGUUCAAUCUCCAGCGGGAACAUGAUGAAGGAAGCAGUAUAGCAUGCUUCCAGGCAUUGGUUGACUUUCUGCGCUCCCUUCUGAAUAGCAAUGAUGAUGGAAGAAUCAUUGUUGCAAAGCAAAAGCUCAGUGGACAACCUGAAGAGGCAUAUCUUAAAUUUGUGAUGCUUUGUGCGGAAAAAAUAUUUUCAGAGGUACUACACCUUGCCUUUUUGUGUCGCCGAAAGUUUAUGCUGUAGCUACCUAUGAAUUUUUGCUCCUUACCUCUUGCAGGUCACUCGGGAUGCUUAUGCUGUUAUCCUGGCUGGUGGAACCCUCCAGCCUAUUGAAGAAACUAGGCUACGCUUGUGUCCAAGCUUACCACCAACUGAUAUAAAAUUCUUCACGUGCAGCCAUAUUGUUCCUCCUGAGAGUAUUCUUCCAAUAGCAGUUACACGUGGACCCUCAGGCAUGACAUUUGAUUUCAGCUACAAUUCAAGGAGCUCUCCUUCCAUGGUUUGCACUUUCUGCCUCAUAUAUCACGUCCCCUAGCUUCUGCCACUCUAGCAUACAUUAUGAAAAUACUAAUUGUAUGUAUUUACUUUUAUAUGUAUUUAUUUUGCAGAGCAUCUUCUUUCCACUAAUCAUCAAUUAAAACAUGUUUAAUUGGCAGUAUUACAACAUGUACCCUCCCUUAGUCAACUUGUCUAUCGUUAGCAAUCCAGGAUUAUAUAAACUCUGCUGCAAAAUGUAUUUAUGAGUUGCUUUUGUAUACCUGUGUUUCUUUUUGUUUCAUUACCUUGUAAUGUUAAUCUUUGUUGAAUGCACUUGCAUAAUUCCUUAUUUAUCCCUUCAUUUCUUUGUUUUUUAAUUGGAAAUAUAACUACUACAUGGUUGCUUCAUUCUAUCCAUCUACACUUAUCUAUAACAGCGAAAUUCUUUUUUUUCUGAAAUUUUUAAAGUGCAGCUUAUCUGCAGCUUCUUUUGUUGCUUUGUUCGUUCCUGAUCCUUGUGCAAUAUGUUCUACUUGAAUGCACUAUCUUUGUGCUCAUUCUUAUUUGCUUGUGUUUGCAGAUUGAAGAGCUUGGACGUUUCAUCUGCAAUAUUGUAACAGUUGUGCCUGAGGGCGUUGUUAUGUUUUUCUCUUCUUAUGAUUAUGAAAGGCGUGUAUAUGAUGCAUGGAUGACUGCAGGCACAAUUUCCAAGAUUUGUAAAAAGAAACAUGUUUUCAGAGAACCAAGGAACAGUGCUGAUGUGGAGUCUGUCCUCAACAAAUACAAGGAGACAAUCCAAUCCUGUAGUAAAAAUUCCCAAGGCCAAGGCAUCAAUGGAGCACUUUUAUUAGCCGUUGUUGGUGGUAAGAUUUCUGAAGGCAUAAACUUCAGUGAUGGGAUGGGCCGCUGUGUAAUAAUGGUUGGCUUGCCUUAUCCAAGUCCCUCUGACGUUGAGCUGGUAGAGACGAUAAAGCAUAUCGAAACUAUUUCCAGCUCAUUUUUGGUUGGAGAUGAUAAGGCCUCAGGGAGAAAAUAUGAUGAAGAAUGUGAACUUCAGCCUGGUUAUGAUAUAUUACGGAAGUGCACUAAAGGUGGAAGAGAGUAUUAUGAGAACCUGUGCAUGAAAGCUGUGAAUCAAUCUAUUGGUAAGCUGCUUCACUUUAACAUUUGUGAUGCUUAUUCACUAUUGGCAUACUUUCUUAUAUGAUAAGAUGAAACAAUUGCAGGCAGAGCAAUCAGGCACAUAAAUGAUUAUGCUGCAAUGCUGUUGGUUGACUCACGUUAUGCACAGGCUUCAUCAAGCAAGAGUUUUCCCUGCCCAACUGAUAAGCUUCCUCAAUGGAUAAAAGCACGACUCUCUUGUGCUCAAAACUAUGGAGAAGUUCAUAGACUGUUGCAUCAGUUCUUCAAAUUCAAUAAACAAAAAUGCUGAAAUGCUGUAGAAACAAGAAGCAAAGCAUUGCCAGUUGAUGCAAGGCAAGCAGACACAUGCAGGUUUGUGUAUUCAUCUUCAUGUGUUUUUAGAUUGUAGCAUUGUGUUUGCUUAUCCUUAUGUAUACUGCCUAGUUAUGAGCUGUGACCCUUUACAUGGCUGUGCAAUAAUGUUAUUCUGAAUAAAAUAAACUAGUAUUAUAUAGAUAAUUUUUUGUACAGAAUUAUGGUGACAGUUAUGCUUGCCCUGAAGGAAUUAUGAUUAGAUACAUAUUUCUUUUGUUCGAGACUGUAGAACAAAAUAACAAAUAUAAUUAUUUGGUCAGUUCUUAUCAUUGUUUCAGUUCUCUGACAUGAUAGUGUAAAUCUAAUAAAACUCAUUUAACUGAUGCAGGACAAAUGGAAUUCAUGUGUUACUACUAAUAUGAUGGUAUAUUUUUGAAGUGGGGACAGAGUACUAUUUUGAUCCUUGCAAGUUAUGGUUACAUGGAUAAAUUCUUGAAAUCUACAAUCUAGGCAAGUGAUCUCUAUGUGUGCAAUUUUAUUAGUUCUGCCAUCUUGCUGUCUGCUUUUUCUAAAAAGAAAAAAGAGGAAUAGGAUGAAACAAAAAACAAGCUACAAUUUUCAGCUAUCCUUUUUUUGAAGAGCAAGUCCACCAACUUUUCAAUUUGUUGUUCCUUCUGAAGGAUUCAACUACGAAUUAUCUCAGUAUUACAUUAUUGCCAUACUAGGACAUCCUUACUUAACCAUAUGCAUUAGAUUGCUAAGCUAAUAAUCUUCUGAAGAACAUUUAAUACAACCGAUUAAUAUUUUGUGGUGGGUUAAAACAUUCAGCCUUUUCUCACUAUGCAGAGGCCGGGAUGUUUAUUUCGAUUAUCUAAAAAAAAGCUUGCAUCUUCUUGAAUUUUAGACAACCUAGUUAUCAGCUAACCAGAAGAAACGGAGCAUCAGGGUUGUGUUGUGUGCCACAGUGAAGACAGGGAAGGGGCCAGCCAGAACCAAAGAUUUUAUUGAACUGAUAUUAUUGUGAUUUCAUUGCCCAUACAUGAUGAUUCAGCACUUUAUUACUUGUUCUAUGAUUCUUCAGCAGCAGGCACCGCCACCAGCGAUGGCGCACGGAGUGGUGCAGUAACUGGGCAGUGAAAUGCCACACAUGGCCGGCAGGUUCUUGGCACCCAGAGCAGCAUGCUGAAGUUCAUAAUACUCGGAGCCUUGCAGCAUCAUCUGCUGUACUGUAGUUUCAACCAAGCUGCAGACCUCCUGGCAUCGAUGGAGCGGCUCCACUUGCCUGAGCUGCAGGCAGCACUGCUGGUGCAUCGCCAUGCAGCUGCUUGGCUGCCAUGUGCGCGACCAGGCGUAGGGCCACCCUGUGACCGCGGGACACCUCUGCCUGAGGAAUUCGCCACAUGGGUGCAGGCUUCCAUAGUAGCCUGGCUGCUGCGCAGAGGCGCUGCUAGCUGCGAGAGUGAGGAGAGCGAGCACGAUGAAGAUCUUCAUGCCGGCUGCUCCUGUAGGAUGCUACUUUGAUUUGGUUUCUAUGUUAUGUGAAGGAAUUGAUGGUUGAUGGUGCUAGAGGAUCAUAUGAGAGGGUUAUUUAUAAGGGUGAUGGCACGCCGAAUGCGUUCUGGGUUUGCUUUUGCUUGUGCAUUUGCAUUGCUUUGCUUUGCUAAGUUGCUAUCUCUGCGUGGGGUGUCAUUGCGUUUGGAUGCUUACUUAACUGAACAUUUGGAAUGUUGCAAUAGCUGGAAAUAAAGGUGCACUUGAAUGUUCAUCAAAGUUACUUUACAGCACGUGAGAACGGCAUGGAGAGCUUCACACGAUUUCGUCACUGUACUUGACUUGUUGAGGUGCUUCUGAUUAGAUAGCUUGCUAUGGCUUCUAUGGUUCCCUUCACGCAUUUGAACUGUUCUGCUUGAAAAACUCUACUCUCGUUUCCCUCUAGCCCACGGUUUUUCUUUCGUUUCCGAAAACUAGAUUUGUAAUGUUCCGGAAGCUGUUGAGAUAAAUCAUAAUAGUAUAGUUGACAUGACUUGCCAAAACGUACUCCCUCCGUUCCAAAUUUUUUAUCUUUUUCUAACUACAUAAUUUUUGCUACGUAUCUAGAUAUAGCAUAUAUCUAGAUGUAUAGCAAAGUCUACAAAUCUAGAAAAGCUAAAACGAAUAGUAAUUUGGGACGAAGAGAGUGCAUGGCGAGCAUUGUCCGGACUCCUGAGCACUCAGUUCCUCUGAAAUCAAGCUUUAGGUGAAUAAUUCACUUUCCUCUACAUUUUUAGGGUCGUUACAUUCUAUAUUACUGAACUACGAUUGCAAUAUUCUACAAGUUAUUGCCAGGUUUUGGUUCAACUGAGCUUGUAGAAGACCGGGCGCAGAAAAUGUAUAUCAUGAAUAGAACUUAAAAUUAUUUCUAGUCAGGGAAUAAGUUAAAUAAGUUAAUGGAUUGGUAUCUCUUUGCCAUGGCAGGGAGACAUGCAAGAUGUAUCAGCCUAGUAGAUGUAGGACAUUAAUCACCACCUAGUCGCUAAAAAAGAUGAAGAGGUCUGAUGUAUUAGAGCAACUCCAAGAGUUUCUCAAAAUUUGGCACAUUAGUUGGGCUGACCACCUCCCGUCACGAUCACCUUCUCCCUCAUCGCGAUCUCCAGCGCCGCCAUUGUCUCCAUCCUGCGUCCCCAGCUUGUGCGCCUCUGUCACCACCACCGCGCUGAGGCCGACCAAGGCGGGCAAGAACGUGCGCCUCAUCCGCCUCUUGCCGGAGAUGGACUGCCAGGCUAGGGAGCUGCCACUGUAUUCUGGACACAUGGCUUCUUCGUUCAUGGAUAGUCUAUGUUUUUAUUUGGAUUAGUUCAUGAACUGUCAACUCUCAAGCUCUUAGCGGCCGCCACACGUAGCUGUGGGGUGAUUGGGGAGGAAAAGGUUCGCGAAAAUUUGCAGAGCGACGAAUCCGGGAUUCGCAUCGUUGUAUUUUUGUGGUGUCAUUGGAGGAGCUGUUGGAGGCUCUCUUUUCUCCCUAAUUAAGGUAUUAGGGGUACCCAUUUUACUCCUGGCCUAUAGGGCAGGAUAAUGUCGAAAAUGUUGAAUAGUGCAUAAAUUAAACAUAACUACCACCGCUUCAAAUGGACAUUUCUGCCCUUCUUUUGUUGCCUGUCUAAGUGGAAAAUGUUUUGGAUAACACAAAACUCGGGAGUGCACCUAGGUAGGCAAUAUGUAGAGUGAAGUGGAUUUUAUAUUUAGACAUACCCAUAAGGAAAAUAUAAUGCACGUGCGUAUUGGAUUCAAAUGUGUAUCUAAUACUCGCAGGAUUUUGCAAACUCAGGAGUUCUCUCGCUUGACCCCUUUGAGGAAAAAAGGACAACAAUUGCAUUCCCUACUAGAUAUGUGGCUGAAUGUAAUAUUAAGUUCUAGGUAGUCUUUUUAAGGUUAAUGAUGUUCAAGCGGUCCUAUGAACACGUAGAACUUGCAACGAUGCAAUUGUAGCUCAUAGAAACCGGUAUCCACAAACUCCUUGAUUACAAUUAAGCAUCCAUGCAUCCAUGCAGUUAAAAAUAUAGGAGUGCAUGUAUUCCUCGUAAAUGUUCGUGUGCAGGGUUACAUGAUCAUACAUACAUAACAUUAUAAGGAAUAUGAUAAUCCACUAAUCUAUGAUGAUGGAUUAUCGUCACAAAAGUGAUGCAAUUUCUUCAUAUCAUGCAUAAUAAUGAUGUUUUUCUUGGACCACACAAACACACAAUUGUUGCAGAAUCUGUCAUAUAGAAUGUACUUUGUGACAAUGUUUAGAAAAUGGUCACAGGAUGUAAUACAUUCACGACAAUUACUUUAUCAUCAUGAAAUGUAUGUAUGCGUUAUAGUCACAAGAUGUGUAUGUUACAUUAUAUGUAUGAUGAUAAUUUCUGUCAUUUGAUGUAGAGUGGAAUGUCACAAAUCAGACUACAAAGCAUGGAUAAUGUACAAAAUAAAUUGAAUUUUCAUGUCAAAAUAUUUCUUGUGACUAAACAACUGGUCACGAAUACCACGAUGUGGAAGCUCAAUGCAAGGAUGACGAAAAAAAAUUAUCACUAAUAUUGCAGUAGAGUGUAAAACACCCUCAUAGUCUCAUCGCAUUGAUCCGAGGACCCUCAAGGCAUGCAAAAUUAAUAGUGGUAUCUGUGCAACAUGACCCAUUACAUGAUCAGGCACAAAAUAUAAGAAUUUUCAGGCUCAGUCAUGCAUUGUUAUCAUGUACUUCAAAAGCUUCUCCACCAUUCAUGGCUACAGUGACACAUAAAAGAUGGAUAAGAUAUAUUUCUUGGAAUGAGGCUAGGCAUGCAGUCAAAUCCCUGCAAAGCUCUAUCAAAUCCCAUAAAUUCCCAAAGCUCUGUAAAUUUCCAAAUAAGCCCCUAAAACUCUAGAAAAUCUGAAACCAAGCCAGUUAUUAAAGAGAUAUACCAAACCAAUGGCCAUCAAGUUAAGGGUCAAAUUGCAAAAGGGAUACUUUCCAAAUUCAUUGCUAAUUCAUCACAUCCCCAAGAUUAUCACCAAAUAAAUUAUGAGAAUAUUUUGUUGACAUGUGACCGGUUAGGUGGUAAACCACCACAUCAUUUUACCAUGAAUAGUUUACACCUACAAACAUAGGUGCCAUCUCACGAAUUUUACCAUGCCACGGAUCAGGAAAAAAUAAAUUGUAAAUAAUGCGCUUCAAGGUGGUACAAAUAUAUAGGAGGAUUAGUUAACCAUGCACAUAAUCAACGAAAACAUGAGACAUGAAUGACAUUUAUGCAUUGAGGUGCACAUGGAAAUGGUUGACGUAAUAAUUGAAUAAGGAUCAUUAAUCCUAGACUAGUAACUAAAGAAGAAAAUGAUCGAUUUGAUAUUAUGGACAAUUGGCCAAACUGUUCUGGUUUUUGUUUUUAUAGGAUGGCCUGGCUUAUUCUUUACUUGUGUACGGUUGGUUUUCAGGGAUUGCAUAGAAAAAAUCCACAGUUAAGACUUGGGAAAGGAGCAACACUAAACUGUAAACGUGAAAGGACAUGUGGUUCUUUAUAUUAAUUUAGUUCAGCAUGGCAUGGCCGUUAGUGGGAGUUAAAGAUGUACAAAACUAAAAGUUUAAUUUCUGCCUCUAUUUCCUACAGUAUUAAUCUAACAAACAUUUAAGUUACAUUUGUGCAAAUGUUGUCUCCAUAUGUUAUAGUAUAUGUGAUUGGUCAUGGCAUACAACUUAACAUAGGUGUGGGAUAGUAUAUUUGUCAGAAUAAUAUUGAAGCAACUGUGUAUAGAUUAUGGUGGUUGCUAAACACCAGAUAGAAAAUCAAAUGAAAGAACUUCAUACAUGAUAUGUUGAUGUAGUGGAGAGUCUCUAUGUAUGAAGCACUGUAAUUUUUAUUCUAUACACAAAACUAUUUUUACAGGAAAUUUAUAUCCAUCAUCAAUGAGAAUUGGAAGUGUUAGGAUUUAGUCUUCACCUUGCUGAAUGCUGAGGAAGAUGAAGCUUGCCAUUUUUUAUGUAGCUUCAGGGCAGAUGAUGAUGAUGAUGCUUUCGACCGAAGAAAUAGAUGAAUUCUGCAAAUGAAACACAGGCACAAGAGAGAAAGCAACGAAGUAUUUUCUGAUUAUAGUUAAUUAGAUAAGGUCUGCCUCGUAAGUUUUAUCAUGAUCAUAUCAUCAUUAUUUACGAACCAUGCACGAAACCAAAGCUCCAAUUUUCCCAUAAAUCGGCAAAAGUAUUGUGAUCGACAUUAUUACAGACCGGUAUAAAAUCCAAAUAAAUUAAAUAAACACCACAUAUAAUGUGCAAUCUUUAUUCAGCGUCUCUCACUGCACCGUACCAUUGUUUAGCCAUCGUCCUAGUUACUUGGUGCCGGAAGGACCAGCAACGUUGGAAGGACCGGCAGUGCUUGAAGGACCGGCACCUUCGUUCGAAGUACCAGCGACAUUUGAAGGACCGGCAUCUUCGUUUGAAGUACCAGCAACAUUCGAAGGACCGGCACCGUCGUUUGAAGUACAAGCAACAUUUGAAGUGCCGGCAUUGUUAUUCGAAGUGCCAGCAACAUUUGAAGAAGGACCGGCACCAUUGGAAGGCCCCGCACUGUUUGAAGGACCUGGACGGUUGGAAGGACCAGCACCGUCGUUACGCCUUCCAUUCUCCAGCUCCUGCAUACCUCUGUUGAUUACGUCAUAUAGUUCUUGCUUCUCGCCCUUGAAGGUUUCCAUCUUCUGCUUGAUCUUAAACAGCCCACCCGUGCCAACCUUGGUCGCACUUUGCUCCAGUUUCUUGAUCUUUCUGUUGAGACCACUAACCUGGGGCAGCAAAACAAGCAGAUGACAUGCAUGAAUUAGCUACCGAUCCAGUACCAUAAAUUUAUAAAUUCAAAUAAUGCAUGAAUUUGGAAUACAUACUCUGCGCUUAAACAUGCGAUACGUCGGGUCCUUUUGGCAAAGGAGCUUAAACAAUGCUGAUGCAAAGUUGGGCGCAUUGGCGAGAUGAUCGUCGUUAAUGUUGAGGUAGUCCGGAGUGUCCUGGACGGUCAUCUUGGAGAGCUUCUUGCCUUCCUCCCUUUUGAGAGCUUCCACGCGUAGGUGCUCCUGCAUGCUUGGGUACAUCAACACAUCGACACCGGAAGCUGGAUCGUACGGUGGAACUUGAGAGGAUUCGAGUAUAUGAUCUGGUUUGAAACCCUCCCAGUUAAAAGGAGGGAAUUUGUCCAAAGCAUCGGUUGCGGGCUGAUGAGCGGCUGCAGGCACUUGUGCUUCAUCAGCUACCGAUGGGGCAUCAGGGUUUUCUGAAGGCUGAGCGGCUUCGGGAGGAGAUGCUUCAGGGGCUGCAGCAGCUUCGGCCACAGAUGGAGCAUCAGUUUUCUCUUGCGCCUGUGUGACUGCAGGCUGAGCAGCUUCAGAAGGUGUUGCUUCAGGUAUUGCUGCUUCAGCUACAGAUGGAGCAUCAGUGUUUCCUUGCGCCUGUGUGACUGCAGGCUGAGCGGCUUCAGGGAUUAUUGCUGCUUCAGAUACAUUUGGAGCAUCAGUUUUUCCUUGCGCCUGCGCAGGUUGAGCAGCUUCAGGAGUUGCUGCCUGAUGAGCUGCACAUGCAAUACCAAUGUUCAUAGACUCAUAUACAUAUAUAUGCAUGGAGAUUAUCCUUAAUAUAAAAAAAUGCAUGGAUAUUAUGAACAACCAAUAUAUAAUCCAUUUUAGAAUUUCAUUUCUCUCACCAGUUGGAGCAGUGGCCGACAGUAAAUUGUUCAACAUGCCAACCUCGAGCUCCAUAUGUCCAUGGUUGCUCGGCUGUGGCGCGGUGAUAUAGUUGUCGACGACUGCCGCGCUCGGGUGUGGCACGCUGAUGUUGUUGUCGCCGGCUGCCGCGCCGUAGCUAGUGCUGGGGCCGCAUGUGUCCUGCACCAGCCCGGCGUUCUUCGUCUUCAUCUUCUCCACGCUCUUUGCUAUGAAAUUCUGCACCCACUCGUGCCUCCGGCCGCGGAGACUGAAAAAAAGAAACAACCAGAUGAUGUUACCACCUACCUGCAAUAAGAAGUGAUUUCCUUUUUUUUGUGUGUUGAGCACAGUAAUGUGGUUGAUCGAUCGAGCCACUUACUCUAAAUACAGCAGCACUUUCGUGCGGAAUUGGCCGUCUGCAUCCAUGAUCAUACGAUCAAUGAUCGCAUGAUCGUAAGUCCCCGGGUAUGCGCUGUGCACGGCGAAAUGUAUCUUCGACACCCCUGAUGCACCGGUGCAUGCAUUAUAGCAAGUCGUUACUGGAAUAUAAAUCUGAGGAAGAUGAUGUGCGUAUAUGUAAAGAACCAUGAUGCAUGCUUGCUUGCUUACGUACCAUGGAGAGCAAGAACCUCCCGGACGGAGCGGCACCUGGCGCAGUCCAGCCGGCCUGGGACGAUGGGCUUGAAAGUGACUUCCUCAUCGGCGGGGCCCACGUCGUCGUCGUCGUCAUCGGGCGCAGCAGCCUUGGCGCCACCACCGGCGUUGCCCUCCGCGCCGUCAGUUGCCUGGAGCAUGGCGGCGAGCUCGUCCAACAUCCUGCACAUAGUAGGGCUUGGAGGGGGGAACAUGCUCUCGCCUUCCAACCAAGACGCGCCGUCGACGCCGCCGCCGCCGCCCUGCUGCGGCAUCGGCGUUGGGUCGGGGAAGGCGCCGUGCGCCUGUGGAAUCUGCAUCUCGGGGGCCGGCGCGUGCGUCGGCGGCUCGACGACGUCCUCAAUGGCCAUCGCCUGGACCUGAUGGCGCUCGUCGUUAUUGAAGGCCGGCGCCUCGUAGUGCUGGGCGUUGAUGGGCGGCGCCUCGUAGUGCACGGCGUCGACGCCGCCGUCGCCCUGCAUCGGCGUUGGGUCCGGGAGGCCGUACGCCUGCUGCGUCUCGGGGGCCAGCAUGUGCGCCGUCUGCUGGACGUCCACGGCCAUCGCUUCGUACUGCCCUAUGUCCAUGGCCGGAACCUGAUGGUGCUCGGCUAUCAUGAUCAGCGGCUGAUAGUGCUCGCCGUUGAUGGGCGGCGGCGCCACAUGGUGAUAUGCGUCCAUGAUCGGUGCGUGGUACUGAUAGUGGUCGCCAUGGACGCCGUCUCCCUGCCUCAGCGUCGGGUCAGGGAUGCCGUACCCCUGCUGCAUCUCGGGGGCCAGCAUGUGCGUCGGCUGGACGUCGAUGGCCAUCUCCUCGUACUGUGGCUCUACGUACAUGCCCGCCAUAUGAUGGUCGUCAGUGUUGAUGGCCGGCGCCUCAUAGUGCUCGGCGUUGUUGAUCGGCGCCGCCUCAUAGUGCUCGCCGUUCAUGAGCAGCGCCGUCUCAUAGUGCUCGGCGCCGUAGAUUGCCGGCGCCUCCGGCGCCACGUUCUGCUUCUGUGGCGCCGGGUGGCCGUGGAUACCAGUUGCCGGCAACUGGACGCCAAAAUCCGGCGCCGGGUGGCCAUGGAUUUCAGUUGCCGGCAACUGGAAGCCAAAAUCUGGCGGCGGUUGGCCAUGGAUUUCGGUGGCCGGCGCCGGGAGCGUCUGUGGCGCCGCCGGGAAGGCUUGUUCAGUGGCCGGCGCAUACUGGAAAGGCCCUCCGACAGUGCCCUCCGGUUCAGACAAGCCGUACGGAUGAUCCUCCGGGCUAGGAAAAUUCAGGAAGCGGUCGACGUCGCUGUCAGCGUCGUACGGGUCGCCGUCGGACAUGGCUGCAGGGGCGGCGCAUGCGGAGGCCGAUGGAGAGGGUACUAUGCGUGGGGCAGCGACAUUUCUGAAUGUGGACACGUGCAGCGAGCGCCUGGCCUACGACAGCGGCGGCGCGGAGGGUAUUUGUAAGUUUGUAACUAUACGUACGGCGCCAAGGGGGCGGACGGCGGGCGGUUGCCUGGUGGAGUUGCCGCGCGCGCGACGGGACGCGACGUUUGGCGGGCGGUUCGCGCCAUCUUUUUUUUUCUUUUUUUUGAGAGGGGUUCGCGCCAUCUUAAGCGAGCGGUUUAGGGGAUGGACCGGGAAGGCCCAGUAUCAGGCAUAUAGGCCCAACAAAACGGAGCCCACAGCCCAGCCCAGUUGUAGUUCGCGGCCCACCCUAAGUUCGGACAGAAGAAGGUCCAAAUACCUCACAGCCUUUUCUUUUUGAGAGGGUGGGCUCGACAAAACGGAGCUCAGCCCAGUAGUAGGUCGCGGCCCACUUCUAGUACGCUCACAGCAUGAUGAAGUGGCCUAACAGUGCACCGAGAUCAGCCCAACAAACGGCCUGAUGUGCAGCUGGCUAUAAAUACCGUUGGGAUGUUGUUCACUAUCACUAGCAUCUGCCUCCAACCUCGGCGCGCGGCGAAUUGGAUCACCACCAGUCCACCACCCCUCGAGAGUCACCCACCCAAGCAGCCAAGCUCCUCCAUGCAAUCCAUGGACUGCGGCAGCAGAGGCGGCGGCCGGCGCCUCAAGGACCGCCUCGCCGAGCUGCUCCGCCCGGCCAACUCUCUCCUCCGCUCCCCCUGCAGCUCCACGUCGUCCACCUCCAAGGCUUUCACGGCCACCGUUGCCGCCACUACCACCACCAUCACCACGAUGUCGACCUCCUCCACUUCCACUACCGCUGCCAACUACACCAUCGCCAGCGCCCUGAAGCUCGUCCCCCGCGCCGAGCCCUUCUCCGCCGCUCUCGACCGCCUGCGCCACCCUCCUCCCGAGCGCACGCGCAGCAACGACAAGGAGGGGAACUCCUCCUCCCGCCACGGCAGCCGGCGGCGGCGUUCCAAGAGCGUCGUCGAAAAGGCCGGCGGCGUCAGGACGCUCUCGUCCAACCCCUACGGCUUCACCUCUUCUGGCGAGGAGGAGGAGGAUGACACCGACGACUACUGCUACGGCGACGGCGACACGGAGGCCUUCAUGUCCUCGAAAAGCCUCAUGUCCUCCGACUCUUCCAGCUUCUACACGUCCAGGAAGCUGCCGCCACCACCCACGAACAAGAGCCGCCGCCAGCGGAGGAAGCGGCGGCGUUGUCGGCGGCCAGCGGCGAGCUGCGUGGCGGAGGCGUGCGGAGCCGGCGCCGUGAGGGAGCCGGGGUUCCGCCCGCUGGUGGCGACGACGACGACGGCGGCGGCCGCCGAGGAGGUGCGGAGGGGGCUGGCGGUGGUGAAGCGGUCGCGGGACCCGUACGGCGACUUCCGGGAGUCGAUGGUGGAGAUGAUCGUGGGGCGGCAGGUGUUCGGCGCGGCGGAGCUGGAGCGGCUGCUUCGGUCGUACCUGUCGCUCAACGCGCCGCGCUUCCACCCCGUCAUCCUCCAGGCAUUCUCCGACAUAUGGGUCGUCCUCCACGGCGGCUAGCCGGGCGGUCGCCGGCGUAGUUGGAUCCAGUGCAUGCGCCUGAACUUAAUUGCGUAGGAGCCAGUCAUACUGAGAGUGGUUAGUUGGGAUGUUAAGUGGAGUAUUAACUAUGCUUGUUGAUGAGCAUGAGACGGUAGCUGUACUUGAUUGUGAGGCUAGCAAGCUUGAUGGCUGGCUGCCUGGCUGUGCCUGAUUGAUUAUCACGUUUGAAAGUUUGAUCCAAUGGCAAUAUCCUCUGUGUUAAAUAAGACUCUAUUAUGGGCAUACAUAUUUUUUCUUCUUUUUUUGGGCAUAUAUAAUUUGGGUACUUUUGAAUGACAAUUUUGAUGAAGCAGUGUAGUACUGCUUCAAGUCGCAGCAAUGGUUUGAAACCUUUAAAUCCUGGCGGGUGCAGUCUCAGGAAAUUCUGGCAUGCAUGUUUGCGACAAUAGUAUGACAACUUUUGUGUUCUUGGCACGCCUAGCUAGUAUGUUUACAACUUCAAUUCAAAAGUUCAGUUCAAAUCAUUUCCAAAAACCAAAAGCUUGAUUCAAAAACAAUACCAGUGCUGAUGCAAGAUUCUACGGUAGCUAUAAGGGGUCGUCAGAGUCUCAGGGAAACAUGGAAACAUGACCUGCAUGAAACAGAGAAAGAGCAUGUGGAUGGAAUUUGAAGAUAGCAAUAGAGUAUGGCUCCCAAGGUGGCACAGAGUUUCAGCUAGGAGCUAGCUCGAGCUUCCAUUCCAUGGGAUUUGAGCCAAUCCACAUCCAGCCGAGCUCUCCAUUCCAUGCCUACGCAUCAGAUCCCCUGCCAUCACAUCGUGAACAAGAACAAGAGAGGCGACGACAUAAAUGAGGCCUCCCAGUCUGGUGCCUGUUCCUUUCCAAGCGCCUAGCACCUGGCGCCAAAACCGGUGGCUUGGUACAGACAGGUUUGCAUUCAAACUUUAAUUGCAAAACGAGACGUGUUUGCUUCAAGCCGAGUUUUGAAAGGUGGUGGCGGAGGCUGCACGUUCUCUCUCCGGAUUUGUUUUCGUAUAUCCUCUCAAAUACUACUACUACUAUCAAUUAAUAGGGGGUGGACGGGUGGUUUGACAUGGACCAUAUUUGGUGUGUGCACGCCGUGUGGACCAUAUUCGAAACCUGUACCUACCUUCUACGCAUGCAUUUACAGUACAGUACCUGAGUAUCUUCCUUUUGUUGCUUUUUGCAUGAGAGGAGAGAAAAAGAAAAGCAAGCCAUUAGCCAUAACAUACUACAUAGUACUCCCUCCGGUUUCGAAUUAGAGGUGGUCCAGGAGAAACUUCCGAUUUCAAAUCACAGGUCGUUCUCAUAAUUUCCGUCCAUUCUGAACUAUAUUGCCCUCGCGCGUGCAUUGACGUAGCUCGAUCCCGAGGCUGGACGUGCUCGCUCCCGAGGCAGCAUUAAACCGCGCCACACUGCCCUCUCGUCUUCCCCGCUGCUCUUUAAACCGCGCCGCGCGCUGCUUCGCCCCUCUCUCGCUCGCUGCGCGCCGUUGCUAGCUGCACCAUGGACGCAGGCUCCAUGUAUGGGCGCUCAAAGGUCAUCGCACCGGCGUUCGUCAAUGCAGGUUUAGUGGAUGAGAGCUUGCAGGUCAUCGCGCCGGAGAAGGACGACGAUCACUCCAUGGACUUGCUCAUCGUCCCUGAUUCCGAAGGCAAAGACAACGACCUAUGUUUGUGCAACCGUCGCGGUGAAGUACAUGGUGUGCAAGACAUUGAAGAAUGCCGCUGCAUUCGUAGGGAGCAGAGCAGGUGAUCUCGAUGUCGUCUCGUCCACAAAGACUAUGACCUCAUAGCAUGGAUCGUAUACGGCUUCGACAAAUUCGAUUGUGAGUUAUACAUUCCCAAUGUCGAUGAGCUUCAAAUGGACGGCGAGACAAUCAUUUUACCAGAGGGUGGAUGAACUCAGUCCAAGGAUGCAAAAGUUAAAGGAACAAGAGGCAAAUAAGAAGACUGGUACAUAGGGUAAGUACAGAAAUUGUUACAUGUCUCAUACAUCAACUAACCCUAGUCAUUGCCUAAUUCUAAUCUUCUUCUCCUAAUUGUUUGCUGCAGCAAGAAUUGCCUGGUCAGUUAUGGAUGCCUCACAAGCAAUUUGCAAUGGAAGCUGACCUAGUGUCUCUAGUCUUUUUUUGUUUAUGUGAGGGAUUUUAUAUUUAUUCAUCGCUUCCUUCAUAACUAGAUGCAAUGUGAGCCAAAUUCUAUUAGCCUUCUCUGGACAAUACUCAUUGAAAGCAUGUUUCAGUUAUGAAAAAAAUUGUUAGAAUGAGUAUGGAAUUGGUAUGAAAUAUUAUUGCAUGAAUGUAGUAGUUUACCUCUUGCACAAUUGGAACAAGUUCUUGGACUGUUCUCGCUGAUUUCCUAUAUUGAAUGGCUUGAAUUGCACGAAAGAAACCCAAAUCUAAUACAUUGAAGUCCGAAGAAUUCAGAGGUUGACAAAUAAGUCUAAUAUCAAAUCAUUCUUGCUUAGCAGCUUCACAGAAUAAAUGAUCAUUAACUUCUAAAUGAGAUGGUGCAUUGUCUUGAACAAUGUAGAUCGGUUUGUGAAUAUCCUCCAUUGGCCAUCUUUCUCUAAUAGCUAGCAGCACCCUCUGAAUCAUGAACUCCCUAAUCACAUCCCUUGUGAUGUGAGCAAUUGGUUUAACUUCCCAUGUUCUGGCUUGCCGAUUCACGCUACUCCUCUUAGCUUGUUCAUAAGUCACAAGAGGGAAUAAUCCAAUUUUUCCAUCAAAAAUACAAAUUCCAUUAUGAAACCUUGGCCGAGGUGAGACAACCAGAAACAUUAGGCACGGAAUGUAGUUCUUACUUUUACUAGAAUGAUAUGGAUCAUCUUCCUCGGGCAACAAGUAAUAUUUUGCAGAAUUUUGUGUAAGGAAAAACCACUUCUCAUCGAUGAAUACAUGAUCAAAUAAAUCUUUGAAACAUGGAUCAUUAGGUGUGCUAUCCGGAUCAAGCAUAUCAACACACCACCGCAACCUAGUUUUCUUGUUUGCUUCGGUUAGGUAAGGUUUGAUGCUGUUUGAAUGGCGCCUAAGGAGCCCUUUACGCAUGAAUCGAAUCAACUUUGCCUUGCUAACAUGGAGGCACCUACUCACAGCUUCUAAAGUUAUUCUUUCAUUGAGAGAAAUAUUGCGUAAAGGUUCCAAAUCAAUAGGAGUUUCCUUACGGUCCGAAUGACCUCUCUUUCUACUUGUUAUAUUGAUCACAAUGCCUUGAGCUAGUGACUCUCUUCCUCUCUUCCAAAUCUUCUGAACAGCACGAAUAUGCAAACCAAAGUGAGAUGCAACCUCUCUUGUAACUCUCUUCCCUAACCUCCCAUUGUUACUUCUUGCCAAUAAAGUUUGGUAAAUUAGUUUCCUAACUUCAUCAGUAGCAUCUUUCCUUCUACUAGCACCUAGAAGUUUAAAAUAAAAAUGUGUGAACAUGACAUUCAACACAGCUACAAGUUCACAAAAACACAAAUAAAAGUUCAAGGAACAAAACCUAUCACUGCCAUCACUUGUUUCCUCAAUCAAGUCCAUCACAUCAUUGCCAUCAUGUUCAAAGUUAAGAUUAAAUCCACCUACAAGACAUAAUUUUAGCCGGUAGUACUCUUGGGGUGCUUCAAAAUCAUGAUAAAAAGAUGAUAAGAAGCAUUUUCAAAUAACAAACUGACCAUAUUGGGGUGCCUCAAAAUCGAUGGCACCAUAUUCAUCUAGUGGCGAGUUCAAAUCGAUGAAACCAUCAUCUUGUGCAUCCAUGUUUAAAUCAAAUCCUGUUAAAAAAAACUAAGAACCGAUGACAUACUAAAAGGAUAGUUGCAGGGGAACUGAAGAAAGAAGAAGAAGUAAAGCAUUAUCGAUGUCAUUUUCCAAAGACGGAGGUUACUGGUUCAUAUGGAAGGCCGGAAAGAACUCACCCAUUUUCUACACAAACUUCAGACCUUGGACGGUGCCCUGCUGGCCUGCUGUGCGUUUAAAUAGGCUGAGAUGAAAACAACUGAGGUGAGGGAAUGGGAAAAAAAAAGAGCGCCAUGCACGACGCGAACGAAAAAAAAGGCACCAUGCACGGCGCGAACGAAAAAAAGGCGCCAUGCAAAUAACCAGCGCGUGUGUCCACAUCGCCAUGCAAAAUCGCCAAAAGUCGCAAAAACAAGCAACUCAGGAAUCGAACCCGCGGCCUAAAGAGUCCAGAACAAAUGCGCCAGCCACUCCGGUGGAGAGAGGUUGUUGUAUUGAAACGACUCCAAGGCAUAUUUAAUAAGGGCAAAUAUGAAAAAAUAGACCCAAAUUAAUUACACCUUGGUAUGCUAAACCUUGUCCUAAACGACCUCUAAUUCGAAAUCGGAGGGAGUACAGAUUAUUACUCAUAUGGAUAAAAUGUUCUGCAGAAACUAUGCUUCUAACUUUCAAGACAAGGCUCUCCAAAUGACAGUUACGUAGGCACAUUUUCCAGAUCUACUACAACAAGCUAUUAUUGAAAUUAUAAAAUUCAUGUAUACAGUAAUAGUAGACUAGAUGAUGUUAUGAUAUUAAUUCUAUCUCGCGUCCCAAAUUGUAGGUCAUUUUGACUUUUCUAGCUAGGUGCAUAAAUCACUACUAGAAUUGUAGGAAUGGCUAACAGAUAUUAAACAGUCGGGCAUUGAUUUGAACAGUUGGCAAAUGCAAUAGCUGGUGGUAUAGCUAGAUGCAUACAAACAUUUAUGAAUCUAGAAAAGUCAAAACGACCUACAAUUUAAAAUGGACAAGUUCUAUAUAUGUGCAUAUCUCCACGUACUAGAGGGCAAGUUUUUGUCCUCUAGUGCAUAUGCUUCUAACUUUUUACCAUUUUUUAUAUAUUAGCAAAUUAAUACAGUUUGAAGUUGAAAUUUCGUGUGGUUUAUACCAUUAUUGUCCCACCUACAAGUUGUACCAAAUCUUAAAAUAAAAUUCAAAGUGCCUACUUGAGCAUGCGUACAGUACAUAGGAAUAAGACGAGAACGUCUAGUCUGGCUACUAUCUUGCCAGCAGAGACUGAUGAAAGGUCACGUCAGCCGUAGCUUUCCAUGGCUUUCGAAGGAUGGGCUAUCAUGGCGCAAUGAUCACAAGCGUAAAUACGGUUUAUGAUUUUCCAUUGAUAAGCCAUCAGCGUCGUUGCAACAUUAUUGCGCACAGGAAUUAAGUGAAAAAAAAAUAUGCUGUACAGAUCGAUCCAAGCUAGGCUUGACUCAAAUUGCGAAUGACACGUACGUAACGGUUCAUCGCAUGACAAAAUAAUACAGAUGAAAAGAUGUGGUGAAAAUUGUGAAAAAUGGCAUGGUGCGGCAAGCCGACAACCUUUUGCUUUUGCAUGCCGUCUGAGAGGCUGCAGCUGAGCCAACUACACACAAUAACUGCGCCGGCCGGUGGCCAGGCCCCGGCCGCCGUCGACGACACAAGCUUGCUACUUGCUGCAUGCUUGCAGAAUUCGGCCGGGGCGGAGAGCUAGCAGUUGGAGCCUUCGAGUGGCAGUAGGUCACGUUACGUUAGGUUAGGUUAGGUUUAGGUCAAGGGCAGAAGGCGAUGAGCCUUUCCCAGAUCGAAACGGCCGGUCAAAUUAAAGCCGCAGGCGAUUGGGCCUGGAACCACGUGCCCGCCCAUCCACGGCCCGGCAGCGUUCCGUCUGCCCCUGUCGCCGUCGUCGGCGUCGCCAUUGAUGCAGCCCUAGGCCCUAGCUCCACAGCGUUUGGUCGGGUCCGGUGCGUGUAGCAGCCAGCAGCGGCCGUAGCAGGGCCCAAGGGCCAAUAUGCAGCUUCGAUAUAGUCAGUACUAUGUCUGUUGUUGUUGUAAUUAUAUAUAAAUUGCUCUCUGAUCGGCUGUGUCGUUCGUGGCAGACUGAGAUAGUCGUCAGUACGCGUACAGGGAGCUGACGGCCGGCCGGACGGCGAGUAUGCAGGGACGGGCCGGCCGGCGACAUGCAUGCGCGCGACAUCUCGUUUGCAUGCCCGGCGUGCUCGGGCAAGGCAAGGCACCAUGCAUUUGUCCAUGGAUGGAUGCAGACAUGCGGUGCCUGUUUUCCUUGCAUUGCGCAUGCAUCGGUGGCGUGCGGCGUGCCUAGAGAAGAAUGCGGUGGGGGCCGGGCGCGUGGUCCCACUGGUUGGUGGGCCUGGAGUGCAGGAGUGAAUCCAUCGAGGCCUGGCUGGAUCAGUGUGCAUGCUUGGGCGAGCGCGGCCGCGAGCGACUACAAAAAGAGUUGCGCAUGUGUUGUGGAUGUAGAUGUGUCAGGUCUAGUCGGGCAAGGUUAAAGCUGUGUGCGACUCUGUCACUGCUGACCCACUGGCUCGUAGUAUUAUAUCGAGGACUCCUGAUGAGCGCAGUGGGCCUCCUGGCUCUUAUUGUGUUAAGAUUAUAAGAAAAAAGAUUAACGAAAGGCCGAUGGGAAUCAGUUUCUGCUACCAUCAGGAGUAGUACUAUACUCUUCAUACAAACUACUACCUCCGUCCUUAAAUAUAUACGUCGUUUAGAAUAAGCUAGUUAGUUUAAAAAUGAACUAAUUUGCUUAUAUAUUUAAGAAUGGAGGGAGUAUUUGAGUGUGUCACAAGAUUUCACAGCUAAAUUUACUUUAAUCGAAGCAAAUAAUGCCUCAAAUUCCAGUAGUUUCUAAUGCACAGAUAUUUUUAAACAGUACUCGAAUGGAUCUACACGCAAGGGUUUUCCUUUUCCCAUUAGCAGGUUUGCAUAUUCCUAUGUAUGUGUAAGGCUCUAAGGUAGCCCAUUUGUGCAACCAAAUCAGACAAUGACGUGGCCACCCGUACACAACGGCUAAUUUCUAAACUUCAAACAAGUUUAUUCUAAAAAACUUUGAAAGCUAUUCCAAUUAUGGUUUGAGGCAUAAUCAUAAUGCAAUGAAACAGCAAUUAGCUUGCAAAAAGAUGAACAAUUCAUACAUGGCCAAGCACGCGCACACAAAAUCAAAGAUAAUAGAUAAGACCCAACCAGGACGAAAGAACAGUCGGGAGGCCCAGCCCAGCAGUAUGGGCUGUGCAAUUGGGGCCGACCAAAAGCUCGCACGCGCAACGCAGAAUUAAGUGUAAUAGAAGCCCAUAAUGGCCCGAUGUGGGUUUUCUGGGCCUUCAGUUUGUUAGCCAUCAAUCUAUAGCGUAAUAGGCCGUUUUUCUUUUUAGAUCGGGAAGAAAAUGGUUGUGCUCGUGCAUUGGUGGCAAUGUCACUUAGCUUCUCUCAGUUCUCAAUUCUCAACUCUCAAACAGAAAGAUCAAUUCCUAAUCGCUCAUAUCACAAGAUUAAGUCUACUCACAACUCAGAGCGUAAAAGGCAAGAAUUUCCAAAGUGCAAAACUUUUUCUCAAAAUAGGUAGUAACAUUUUGCACUUGCACAUGAGUACAGCAGGUGAAUUCAACGAUCGGCGACGGUGAGCACCGUCGUCGUCAGUCAUGUGUCGAAACCGCGUGCCUGCUGCCGCCUGCCAAACAAUUCCACGGCUCGCUGUAAUCAAAAACCUCUCUGGUCCUGUGCAGCUGUUAUCCCUUACCCGACCAUGCUUGCGGAUGCAGAGUUGACCCGGCGCCGCCGCGUACCCCGGCCGGUGAUUUUGAUAGUAGGCGUUCCUUCAGUUGGCAGCAGGAACAUCAUGUAGUACAAAUUAAAAUUAAUCAGUGAGACCUUAUGAUUUGUAUAUAUAUGGUGAUUGCGUAUAAGCAGGAUGCAUGAAACAAAUUAAGCUGAGUGGGUGGCGGUGGAUGAUUGCAGGCACAUGGUCUGAAAUCUGCAGUUGGAGAUGCCUUCACGUACCAAGAAGCAGCACGCAUCCUCCUCCGAUUAGGCAUGCAAAUGCAUCUCUUCCGUUCGAGCCUGCCUAAUGAUGGCUUCCAUAAGACAAUUACGUUUGCCGGCACUUGAGAUUUUGUGCUGGCUGAUUGAGUCCAAGACCUCAACUCAAGUAUCCUGGUGUCACGAUCAAUGUCAAGACAACCACGCACAUCUGCUGAUCGAGUCCAAGACCUCAACCAUAUGCACUAGUAUACCCUAAUAUCACAUUCCAUGCACAAUACACACCACGCAUCUGCUGAUGGAGACACUUGUACAAAACUGAAACACCCAACUGCUGUAGAUCAUAUAUGAUUAACUCGUCAAUGCAGACAGCAGGAUUCGCGUACGCGGCAUGUGGCGCACGGAUUAUUCUAUCGCCGUGGCUUCCAUUCUUUAUCUUCCCCUACUCUGCUCUCACUCUCCGCCGGUCAAUGCAAUUGGCCUCUCAAGCGUGAUUUGUGUCGGGAUUAACUUGGGAGCUCGAACGCGUGCUACGUCCUUGUGGUUAGUGGACAACAUUGUCAACUCGUCCUUGUGAUUUGUGAAGAAUACCGGUAGUUUCGUCAACUCCGUACUGACUCAGCUAUGUCUCUCUCAGUAAAUGGUUGUAUGGAGGUUGCCGUCAAGUAUUUCCCUUUUAAUUGUUUCCAAGGGCGCAUAAAAUCGUGAUAAGAAAAUAAUUGUCACGUUGAGAUAUUUUUUUAACCUAGUUAGAGUUAGAGGAACAAAUUAGUUUGCAUUUUUUUUUGUAUUUCCCAAGUGGAGGAGUAUAAAAUAGCAAGAGCGCGUUGCAUACGUAUCUAUAGCGUCGUCCCUUUUGUGCUGCGAAAUAGGAGCCAUAAGGAUACCCGCAACACCAUAAGCUAGCCGCUGACUCGAGCCAGAAGAGAGAGAGAGAGAAACAGGACGCUUCGCUUGGCGUGCUGUGAGAGAGCUGAGAGCUCGAGAACCGUGCGAGCUAGGUGCGGAAGCAAGCGCUAGCCGCUUUGCUUUUGCACUGUUCAUCGAGUGAACAGUUGCUUCAGCUGGCGACGUGGCCGGCCGUUGGAGACGCCCUGAGCGUGCAGUUCAGCUGGCUCCCGGGCCGGCCGGCGGCCAAAUCAGGGAGCUCCACUUGGCUUUGCGCGCCUAAAACUUUCUCACAGGAGCUGGAACCCAUGUGAUUGGGGAGCGUAGCUGCUCGUGAGCUGUCCAUCUCCUGCUUCCUACGCGUAACAAACGGCUCCUGAUGACUGCUUCCCAGGUGGAGCCAAAGGGAAGGGUUCGCUAUUAUGGUCACACGUUUCUCUACGUGUUUAGGGGAUGUUUGGGAGGGGGUGCUAAACUUUAGCACCCUCACUUUAGUCUAUUUUAGUCACUUGUGUUCCCAAACAGGUGAGCUAAAACUGGUGGACUAAAUUUUAGCCCCCCACUAAUCCCUUAAUCCCUUAGUCACUUGAGGGUAGCUAAAAUGGACUAAAUGGACCAAAAAGUGGUCCCCCGGACCACUUUCCCCCCUGUCCCCCUCCCCUCUCUUUCCUCCCUUCAGUCUCUCUCUCCCCGCUCCUUCACCUGAACCGCCGCCUCCACCUCGCCUGUCGCCUCCGCCUCGCCGCCGCCACCGCCGCCUCCGGCCAGCCCCGCUGCCUCCGCCACGCCACCGCCGCCUCCCCCUCGUCCGCCGCCUCCGCCUCGCCGCGACCUCCGCCGGCCCCGCCAGCUCCCGCGGCCUCCGCGCCGGCCCCGCCCGCGACGGAGGAUCCGCCCGUGGAGAAGAUGUUGACGGUGAGGGCCAUGGUGGAGGCAUCGCCGACCAUCGGGCAGAUGUACGCCACCCAAGUGAGUAGCGUGUGAUUAGUGAUGCUGCUGCUUGACGAAAUAUUUGCUAAACCUAGUGAAAAAAAUGAAUGGUACUACAAAUGAUUUGAGAACGCAAGACAAAUCAAAGUACAAAGUGCACUACUAUAGUCUGCAUGACGCCAAACAAGCAGGAAGAGGAGGGGUGAAGGAGAGAGAGAAAACAGGGGCAAAUCUGUCUUUUGUCAACACAUGUGCUAAAAUUUAGCCUCCUUCACAAACAUCCUGAAUGACUAAAGUUUAGCACACCAUUUGAUGGUGCUAAAAUUUAGUCCAAGGCUAAAUUUUAGCACCUUCCUUCCAAACAGGACUUUAUUUGAGAAAUGGGUCUCGUGUGAGUUCACACAUACGUUUUCUUGACAGUUUCUCCUAGGCCGAAGAGAUAUUCCAGGGCAACGACGGAUUUAGAACUCGAAGGAAUGGGGCUCAUUUUCCCAUUCGUCUUCCAUUUCUUUUCUUAUUACUCUUCUUCAUCGAUGCUUGGAAAUUUUAUGAAGCACGGUGUAGGGGAGCUCUAGCUCCCCAGCUCCCAUGUUAGAUCCGUCCCUACUCCAAGACGCGUAUGUAUUUGCAUUCUCUUCAGUUUCGUAUAUUUCGAAAAAAGAAAAAAACUUUCUAAUCAUUAGGUGCACCAUGCAAAUAUGACACGUAAAUGGUGUACCAAAAUACUCCGUGACAGUGCUGCAUCUAUCAAAAUGGACGAUGAAAAGAAUGGACGAACUAUGCUCUGAACAAGUAUCUGCCUGGUUCGUUUAAAAAACAUUCUUGGAGUAAGUAUCGAGGUGCCACCUCGGUGAGGCUUUUUUUUUUGGAGGGUGAAGCGGCGAGGUUCACAGCACGAAUGAAGAUUGAUGAAAAGAGAUACUAGGAGCUAAGCUUAUUCCACAGCCACACUUUUCGUGGAUAGAUAGAUUCAAAGAGCACGCACCACUUGCGCAGAAAAUCGUAAUACAAGAUUAGAUCCUCAGCUCCUCUCAGGCUCUCAACCAGGAGGCGAAGGCAAUUUGCCAAGCUAACGACGAGGCCAUUGCUGUCAAGCAAGCGAAGAGGGAGCAAGUCGAGAGCACACGUGACUAUACAUCCAAGGGCAAGGGCGUGGCAGUGUGUGCUCUAGAUUCGGAUGCCUCCAUUUCUGCCGUGUUCUUCUCCUCUCCGGCUCCCCCCGGACAGCGCGUCACACAGGUCAUCAUCCCCACGUGUGUCCGGCCCUACGCCGCCAAUCACGCUCGGCCGCUGCGCCGCGGGCCCGGUACUACCCUAGGCCGUAGGGCGCGGGCCCACCCACGUUGCGCGCGAACCUGGACUCCUGGACAAAGUGACAGAGAGCGAAGCAGCCGCCGGGUCAGUCAGCAUCAGCAACCGAAAACGCCAGGGGCUGACCGGCGGGACCCAUCACCCGCUUCCGUUGCCACAACAUGGGACGGUGGGAGCCCCCUGACUCGGAGUGGUUGACGCUGACGCGCGGGGUCCACGCGGGGUAAAACCGCGGUGACCCGCCGUAAAGGCUGCGUAAUCCAACGGCAGCAGGAGCCGUGAAAAAGGUGACGCGCGCUUUAUCCGGUGACACCACCCAGCGUUCCCACCAUUUCCCGCGGUCAAAAGCGAUGGCGGGGCACCGCGGAGCGCUACCACGCGCAGGCCUACGACACUUCCCACGUCAUAUUCCUCGCUCGUCCCUGACAUCUAGGUCCCGCGGACCCGCCGCGUCCAUCUGUCGGUGACCGUGCCAGUGAAGCCUCCCGGUACGCAACGCAACGAACGACCGCGCUACGCUCACCCCACCCGAACGCUGUCGAGCCGCGGACCCACCCCGCUCGCGGGAUGGGCGGGCCCACCACGCCCCCGCUGUCACCCUCCGCUUUCCCACCUCAUUCCCCCCUCCCUCCGUCUCACUUUCCAUUUAACGCUCGACCGCCCCGCUGCCUACUCGGCUGUGUGUGCUGCCGCUCCUCUCUAUCUCCCGCUGCCGCUAGCUUGAUUGAUUAGCUAGCCUCCUCCACUUAGCUCCAAUUCCACCUUUCCCACCGCGGAUCGAGCGCGAAGCAUCUUGGCAUCUCGCCGUCUACUCUUCCACCAGUCCACUCUUACGCGCUAAGCAACCGACCGGCCCUAGCUCCGAAGCCGGAGCAGCGGGGGGGUUCGGGGCGCGAUGUCGUCGCCGACGGCCGCGCCGGCGCCGACCACGCCGUCGGCCCCGCCGGCCAACAACGGCACCACCCCGCCGCCGGCGACCCCGUCCGCGCCACCGCCGUCCACCCCGGCAGCGCCCACUCCGCCGGCCCCCGCCGCGCCGUCCCCGCCUGCCCCCUCCGCGCCGCCGCCCUCCUCCCCCUCCGUCCCGGCCCCCUCCACCCCCGCCGCGUCCCCGCCCGCGCCGUCCUCCUCCACCCCGGCCACGCCAUCCGCGCCGUCCCCCUCCUCGCCAGGGACUCCCUCCACGCCGUCCCCGCCCUCGGACACGCCGUCGCCGCCCUCGUCCGGGGGAGGAGGGAAUAGGUCCCCGUCCCCGCCGUCGUCCGGGGAAAGCGGGGGCAGGUCCCCGUCCGGCCACUCCCCGCCCAAGUCCCACAACUCGGGCGGCGGCGGCGGCGGCGGCGGCUCCGGGCCGUCCACGUCGCUCGUGGUGGGCGUCGCCGUCGGGGGGUUCGUCCUGCUCCUGCUCGCCAGCUUCAUCUGCCUCUGCUGCCUACGCAAGAAGCGCCGCCGUGCCCCGCAGCCACCGCCGCACUACGUGUACCCGCCGCCGCAUCAGCCGCCGUACAAGGGUGAGUUUAGAUCUCUCUCGUACACCUCCCGUGCCUGCCUGCCUGUCGCAGUGUCGCUGUCUAGAUCCAGAUCUGGUGUGCAGGUGGCGUGAGUAGUAACUAGUACUCUCGUUGCUGUCGGUUUCAAUUCUUGUCUUCCUGGCAAUUCGGGUGGCGGUGGAUCUUACGUCGCGGCAUGAACAUGGGUGUUAGGUGUGUGGGUGCCCGAUUCUUCACGUAGGUCUUGUUGACAUGUGCAAAGUGGGGUGAAAAGUGUUAUUAAUUUCACUAAGAAUAGAAACUAUUUUCAAUUUCAAGAGAAUUGGACCUGGAUUUCAUUCAUACUCACUAAUCCUUAAUUGUGAUGGUGAAGUCUUAGUUGCUUACGACAUGGUGUGCUUUUCUUAUUGUUCAACAACAAACUUUCCUGUGAUUACAUUAUCUGGUAGCCGUUGAUGGAUGCCAUGCAUGCUGUCUAAAUCAAAUGACAUAUUAUAUUCGCUUUUAGCUAUUGCCUGUUUGUUUUGUUCGGAAAAGAAAGUAGGAGCAGCUCGGUAAGAAUAUAAUUAUGUUCUUUACCAGAUGGAGACAUAAUUUAUCUCACAUGAUGUUUCAUCUUACUGCAGAGGAUCCAUAUGGUGGAACAUACCACCAGAGUUGGCAGCAGCAAAAUGCGCCUCCUCCACCUCCUGAGCAUGUGGUCAAGAUGCACCCUUCACCUCCGCCAGCAUAUGCCAACCGUCCUCCACAGGCACCGCCACCGCCUCCACCAGCGAUGUUAAACAGUAGUGGUGGGUCGGGUUCUAAUUACUCUGGUGGCGAGAUCCUACCUCCACCAUCCCCUGGCGCUGCCCUUGGCUUCUCAAAGAGCACAUUCACGUACGAAGAGUUGGUAAGGGCAACUGAUGGAUUCUCUGAUGCCAAUCUCCUCGGACAAGGUGGUUUUGGCUACGUUCACAGAGGACUGCUGCCUAAUGGCAAGGAGAUCGCUGUAAAGCAAUUGAAACUUGGAAGUGGCCAGGGAGAGCGUGAGUUCCAGGCUGAGGUUGAGAUUAUCAGCCGAGUACAUCACAAACAUCUCGUGUCUUUGGUUGGUUAUUGCAUUUCUGGAGGCAAGAGGUUGCUUGUCUAUGAGUUUGUCCCCAACAACACAUUGGAAUUCCACUUACAUGGUAUGCCUUUUCUUCCAUUUUUGCUUCAGUAUCUGUGAUCCUGCAUUCCACAUGUUUGAUUUUUCUACUUGGUUUCUCAUUGGGACCAUGUUACAAAGUUUGAUUUGCACAUCUAGGAUUGUUCAGUUGAAGGCAGUCCUAUAGCUGCCACACUUCAGCUAAAUAAAAACUUCUCCUUCCCUUGAUCAUGAAAUAAUCACAUGCUAACCAUUCCUCAGAGCCACCGGCCUUUUCAAUGCCACUAUUGCCUGAAAAAAAAAAUCUGAUCAGCUGCAUGCCCUUCGGCACAAUUUUCUUUGCUUUAUUCAAGUUGGCAAUCCAGAGUCUUGCUUGCAAAAAGAAAAACCGCUUCCCUGUAGGGCAAUUCAUGGAUUAAUUGCUUAUCCUAAAAUUGGAUUGAGGCAUGCAUGAUACAAGUCGAUUGCUAUUUCCAUUUGUCUCCUCUUGCGCAUUGUUCUGACAUAUUUGCAUCUUCUGCAGGGAAAGAUCGACCCACAAUGGAGUGGCCCACUAGAUUAAAAAUCGCUCUGGGUGCUGCCAAGGGUUUAGCGUAUCUUCAUGAAGACUGUGAGUUUAAAUCCACAACAGCUAUCUAUAUUUAUUACAAUAUCUCAUGCUAAAUGUAGAAAUAUAGGAGGACCUAGUAUAACAUUUUUUUUUAUGUGCAGGCCAUCCGAAGAUCAUCCACCGUGAUAUAAAGUCAUCAAACAUACUUCUUGACUUCAAAUUUGAAGCUAAGGUAUGCUCUAGUUUCCUUUUUCUAUUCUGGAUGUUCACUGCUGACAGUCCAUUUCUACUAAAACUGAAAAUGUAUGUCUUAAGCAGUUCUUAUUUUAGGUUUACCAUCUUGACAAAAUUAUAUUACAUUAGGGCAUUUUGGCAGUCCACAAGUCAUCUCUGUUAAAGGCUUGGACGUUGUUGUAAUGUGGUUUCUGCUAUUUACUCUAUUUUGGAUUUUUGGUAGCCAUAACGUUUUGCAUGGUUUGAAUAUUGUCACACUAAUGGAAUUUUUCCAUAACCGCACUAAUGGAAUUUUUCCAUAACCGCAUUGGAUGAGAAGUUAUAUAGCCUUCUUGCUUGAAUGUCUAGGCCACUCGACUUAACUAACAAGCGACUCUGUACAGGUUGCAGAUUUUGGACUUGCGAAGUUUACCAGUGAUAACAACACCCAUGUUUCAACGAGGGUAAUGGGCACUUUCGGGUAUGUAUAAAUGCUACUUUGUAAUUGAAGUGUGGUGUUAGACAUUAUAGACAUGCUGCAUAAGCCACUGUUUGGCUAAAAUUUUAAAGCACGAGGACGUCAUUACUUAUGCAAUUUAGACUAGGUCGAUAAUAUGGUUAAUGAUACAACACCCUAGGGGUUUUAUUAACCUUGGCAUUUGCAUCAUAUUCUCAGCUAGCAGAGAGUUAUUCCAACAUUCAACUUGCUAUGCUGUAGUAAUAAUUAUGGCUUGCUAAUCCCACAUCUUCCUGGCUUUAGGUAUUUGGCACCUGAGUAUGCGUCCUCUGGAAAGCUCACAGAAAAAUCAGAUGUAUUUUCUUUGGGAGUCAUGCUUCUUGAGCUAAUAACUGGGCGGCGACCAGUCGACACAACCCAAACAUAUAUGGAUGACAGCUUGGUUGACUGGGUAAUUACUUCAAACAUCUUUUCUAGCUUUGAUGUUUUCAUAAGCUUUGAUGUAUUUCUUGACUUCUAUUAGUUAAGAAGCAUAUUUCUAGCCACUAGGUUGUAUUGUUGUUAAUAUAUAUUAUGGGUUUGUGGUCUUAUACUACCUUGAUAAAGUAUCUGUCUAUAGGUGACAUGUCAAUGUUGUUAACCUAGAAAGUAAUUAUCAUCUAUUGUUUUUUGGACUAUGAUGUAUUUCUCGACUUCUAUUAGUUAAGAAACAUAUUUCUAGCCACUAGGUUGUAUUGUUGUUAAUAUAUAUUAUGGGUUUGUGGUCUUAUACUACCUUGAUAAAGUAUCUGUCUAUAGGUGACAUGUCAAUGUUGUUAACCUAGAAAGUAAUUAUCAUCUAUUGUUUUUCGGACUAUGAUGUUGUGAUCUUCCGGAAAGUAACAUUACUGUACCAUCUGCAGGCAAGGCCGUUACUGAUGCGAGCACUUGAGGAUGGUGAUUAUGAUGAAUUGGUGGAUCCUCGGCUUGGAAAGGACUUCAGUCCUAAUGAGAUUGCAAGAAUGAUAGCCUGUGCUGCUGCAUGUGUACGCCAUUCUGCACGUCGUCGCCCGCGCAUGAGUCAGGUAAUUCAUAAACAUCUUUACCACAACCCUUGACUAUAUCCCUAAACAAAAACUUUCCAUCAACAUAAUCUGUUCAACAUCCACUUGGUGAAUCCAUAGCAUAACCUUGAGAAAUGUUCUGACUUCUGAGUUGGAACUUUGGUCAGUCUAGUUUCAGUGAAGAAAACAUGCUACACGGGGUUCCAUACAACUGCAUUGCACCAUUGUGUUCGCAAUCAUAGAUUCACCUGGUGGUUUAACAGUCUGUUGCCUGGUUGAUGAUGGCCAGGUUGUUCGGGCUUUGGAAGGCGACGUGUCGUUGGAGGAUCUCAAUGAAGGUGUCCGACCUGGUCAUAGCCGCUUCUUCGGGUCGUACAGCAGCUCCGACUAUGAUUCUGGCCAGUACAACGAGGACAUGAAGAAGUUCAGGAAGAUGGCGUUCAACAACAACAACUACACCAGCAGCCAAUACAGCGCGCCGACCAGCGAGUACGGCCAGAUACCGUCCGCGUCGAGCAGCGAGGGCCAGCAGACGCAGGAGAUGGAGUCGGGCGCGAUGAAGAAGAGCGGCUACAGCUCGGGAUACAGCGGAGCAUCGUGAGGGAAUUCCCUUCCUCUUUCUUUCUUUUUGUUUUCUUAUGACGUCUUCAUUGCUUGCAAUUUGUAAAGUCUGGCUGAGUUAUAUAACCAAAGUUGCUGACUUGCGUGUGGUGUACCCGAGUUUGACCCGAGUAUAGCUUCUGGUUAGCUGGAAUCGUUGAUUCUUUCAUAAGUGUCCAUGUUUUGCUGUGCAAUUGAAAGAGAGCUAAUUGACUGUUGAUAAUAAUACCCUGUGGCAUGGCUUCACUCCUCUUCGUCGAUGAGUCGUGUCAAUAGCUUUUUCUGUACCGUUUCUCCUGCGUCGAUUUGUUCAGGAGAUCUGUGGACUGUGGUGAUGUCGAUUCUCAUGAUCAGGUUCUUUUCCUGUGACUUUGUUCCAGUACAUGUAUGCUAUCACGGGUAAAACUAACUGGGUGUGAUGCUUUUACCGCAAGUGAAGUUUCUGCGAUUCGCUGGAGCCAGUUUGUUAGGCGGGGUGUCCCGGGAAGUCAGAUGUUUGGCGUGCUGUGGUUGCGGUUCCUUGGAAGCAUGGCACAUGCGACAGCUCACGGGAUGAGGCAUGGACGCCUGGUUGUCUCUCGCGUUCCUUCCUUUCCAUGCUUCUGCGGUGGCGUCCGACGCGUGACCCUGAGCGAAUGAAUGAAAUCUUGGAUGAGAGCCAAAGCCAACGCAGGUGCGCGCAUGUUGUUGGUCUAUAGUGGCUGUUGCACCUGUCGUUGCUGGGCCUAAUGUGUAUCUGACAUUCUGGCUCCCAUGCGUCACGUCUUCCGUUCUGGAGGCUGGAGACAUAUCAUCCCUGAAUCCGACGGCAUGUUCAGAGUCACCACUUGGUCCGUGGCUGGUUUGAUGGGCUGUCCAUUCUGGUGUGGCCUAAGGCUAAUGAUGAUUGGUAGUAGGUUGUCUAAAAGCAGGCUGUCCUUAACGUUUCUUGCCCUCCCUUUCCCUUGUGAAGAACUGAAGAUGGAUAUCUUGCCAGAUCAUGGCGUCUCCUCCUAGAUAGAGUUCCUAGUUGCCCAGGCGGGAGAGAGAAGCAAGCAGCCUGUGCUUACCAUUUCUCUUCGGAUGCAGCAGUUGGCACACCACUUGGGCUUAAGUUAAUUUAGAGAGGUGAAGAUGUGCACACACACACACAGUUUCUCACUUCUAGGGAGGGAGUUGGUGCUAACCUGUACAGCAACAGGAGCCAUAAUAUGUACGGUACUCCAGUAGGCAUGAUGAGCAGCCUUCCACUUGCCUCGGAUCCUCAGCAAGUCGUGACGGAUAAUUCCGUAUCAGAUUGCACAAACUCCGGCGACACAAGUUCGUGAUCCAUCAUUGACUUGACCCCCGGCUGGCUGGAGACCAAAUGUGAACGAACGAACGCCCAUGGGCCAUGGGAUGGAAGCUUCGUCAUCAGCACCGGAAGCCCUUGUUUUCCAGUCAGCCCUGGAAAACGCCCUUGUUUUCCGCGGGAGCUCGCAGCCUGCGGCAGCAAGUCGGCCAGCACAUGGCAAUACCUCCUUGCAUUAUCUUAUACAGAGACAUCACGUCGUCGUUGUGCAGUGUACCCACCACUAGUGGGAGCCCAAGUUGGUACCUGUGCUUGUCCUAGUAUGAGUAUUCCAGAGGAGAGCAGAUAGCGGACCAGAUUUGACUCGGGUCGUCGACGACUUGCCGUUUCUGCGCGUUCUCUGCAACCUCCUCCUUCGUCUAUAUCUCCUCUUCUUCCUUCGAAUAGCAGAGCAGGCGUGCAUGAAUCCCUCCAUCCAUCGUCACAAUUCAUACUUCCUACUACCUUACCUUGUUUGUCCAUGAAUCCCCUCCACAUAUUGCUCGCCCUUCUUCUCUUCGCUUCCCUGCGAGCUCCAGCUCCCGCUGCAGGCGCAACAACCGACACUCUCGCGGCAGGCCAAGCGCUCGCCGUCGGGGACAAGCUCGUCUCGAGGAACGGCAAGUUCGCGCUCGGUUUCUUCCAGCCAUCAGCCGACACCAGUAAGUCCGAUAACAUCACCUCCCCCAACUGGUACCUCGGCAUAUGGUUCAACAAGAUCCCAGUCUUCACAACCGUUUGGGUCGCCAAUAGAGAGCAACCAAUCACUGACCCCAAGCUAGCACAGCUGAAAAUCUCGAGCGAUGGCGACCUUGUCAUCGUAAACCGUACCACCCCCGAAUACACAGUCUGGUCCACUCGCAUAGCCAAUAGGACAGGAACCAGCACGAACACUACCAGUGCCGUUCUCCUGGACACUGGAAACCUUGCCCUCACCAAAAGCCCAUCAUCAUCCAACGUCACCUUGUGGCAGAGUUUCGACUACCCGACCGAUGUCGUGCUUCCGGGCGCCAAAUUCGGCCGGAACAAGCUCACUGGCUUCAACCGUCGGGGCGUCACGAGGAAGAGCCUCAUCGAUCCAGGUCUCGGCUCGUACUCCGUCGAGAUCGACACCACCGGGGUGGUCCUCAAGCACCGCAACCCGUCUGUGGUGUACUGGAGCUGGUUAUCCGGAGCGUCGACACUGAAGCUCAUACCGAUACUCAAGACGAUGCUGGAGGCCAAUCCACAGACCAAAGGUUUGAUUGACCCCGUAUAUGUUGAUGACGAUGAAGAGGAGUACUACAUGUACACUUCGCUAGACAACUCAUCUCUGACAUUCGUCUCACUGGACAUCUCUGGCCAGAUCAAGAUGAAUGUUUGGUCACAAGCUCAGCAGUCAUGGCAAGCCAUAUUUGCUCAACCUGCUGACCCCUGCACUUCGUAUGGUACCUGCGGACCAUUCACGACUUGCAACGGCACCUCACAUCCAUUCUGCGAGUGUAUGGAGAGCUUCUCCCAGAAGUCACCACAGGAUUGGGCGCUUGAUGACCGAACAGGAGGCUGCAUCAGAAACACUCCGUUACAUUGCACCAGUGAGAGAAACAAAACAAGUUCCACAGAUAUUUUCCACCCUAUUGCUCGUGUGACAUUGCCCUAUGACCCCCAAAGCAUAGAUGGUGCUACAAAUCAGAGCAAAUGUGAAGAAGCUUGCCUCAAUUCCUGCUCCUGCACUGCCUAUUCCUAUAAAAGUAGCAGAUGCUCUGUCUGGCAUGGGGAAUUGUUGAGUGUAAACAAGAAUGAUGGCAUUGACAAUAAUUCUGAAGAUGUUCUUUAUCUCCGCCUUGCCGCUGAUGAUUCGCCAAAUUUGAGAAGUAAUUCGAGUUGUUAUUUCAUUAGAGUUAUUAUUCCAGCAAGCAUAAUCGGUUCUGGGUUACUAAUCCUCACGUUGUUGUUCAUGAUUUGGAGAAAGAAAUUCAAAUGGUGUGGUGCACCGUUGUAUGACAGUCAAGGUGGUGGUGGAAUUAUAGCCUUUAGAUACACUGAUUUAGUUCAUGCCACUAAAAAUUUCUCGGAAAAGCUUGGAGCAGGUGGUUUUGGUUGUGUAUUCAAGGGAGCGCUAAGUGACUCGACUGCUAUAGCGGUGAAAAGGCUUGACGGUGCCAGUCAGGGAGAGAAGCAAUUCAGGGCUGAGGUGAGCUCAAUUGGACUGAUCCAACAUAUCAACCUAGUCAAAUUGAUUGGUUUCUGCUGUGAAGGUGAUAAGAGGCUGCUUGUGUAUGAACACAUGUCAAAUGGGUCUCUCGAUGCUCAUCUAUUUCAGGGCAAUGCUGCUGCCCUAAAUUGGAACACCAGGUAUCAAAUAGUCCUCGGGGUUGCUAGAGGAAUGUCCUACUUGCAUCAGAGUUGCCGAGAAUGCAUCAUACAUUGUGAUAUUAAGCCACAAAACAUACUCCUCGACGGAUCAUUUGUUCCUAAAAUUGCAGACUUUGGGAUGGCAGCAUUUGUAGGCAGGGACUUUAGCCGAGUUCUGACUACAUUUAGAGGAACUGCAGGGUACCUUGCCCCCGAGUGGCUUGGGGGAGUUGCUAUUACAUCAAAAGUUGAUGUUUACAGCUUCGGUAUGGUACUGUUGGAAAUCAUAUCAGGUAGGAGAAAUUCACCUGAAGCAUACAGCAGCGGAAACUAUCAUAUUGAAUAUUUCCCUGUGCGAGCUAUCAGCAAGCUUCACGAGGGAGAUGUGCAGAGUUUGAUGGAUCCACAAUUACAGGGCGACUUCAAUUUGGAAGAGGCUGAGAGGGUUUGCAAAGUUGGAUGCUGGUGCAUCCAAGAUAAUGAGCUUCAUCGGCCAACAAUGGGUGAAGUUGUCCGUGUUCUUGAAGGUCUGCAGGAGAUUGAUAUGCCCCCAGUGCCAAGGCUGCUUGCAGCUAUCACACAAGGCCCUGGAGCUAUAACAGAAGGCUCUGAUGCAUCUUCGGUGUGAUAAUUUAUAAAUACUAUGUAGUGGACGCUACAAAUCUUUGUUUCAGAAAUUUUUAAUGCUCAAAUUUGGAGCAGAAUGAAUAGAGGAAGUCUUCGAUUGCUAAAUCAUGUGUUCUUAUGGUCCCCUUUUCUCUUAUUUUACAUUUUAAUGAUCGACCAUGGCAUGCAAGCAUUGUACUCAAUUUUUUUUUCAACAGGAGUAGCAAAAUUCUGAGAACUAGGUGUGUGUAUGUUUGUUGAUGAUUCAUAUAGUUGACAUACCAGUACUAACUGCUUAAUUUAAAGAUAUGCCGCUUCUAAGUUGCUCAUUGAAAGAAGCCACCACUAAGUUAGGUUGUCCAAGAUAUGCUGUUAUUGAGGAUAACAUGUUUUCUUCCCUAAAAGAGGCAUUUUAUAUGGCCCCAUAUUUUCAGAUAGAUCAAUGCAUUUACCAAAUACUUGAAUAAUCAACCGAGGAAACAAGAAACUAAAACUACACUCUGAUCAGGUAUGAAUAAAGCUUUCAAGUAACUACAAUCUUUGUUACUAGCUAAACACUAAACAGGUAAUAAACAAGCACUAACUAUAACUGUUCCUAAACAGCAAAAUAAAUAUUCACUGGUCAUAAAUUAUCAAAGGCAGGGAUACUGACAUUAAAUCACAGCAGAAAACUAACACUGACAGGUUGGAACUAUCGGUUACCUUCUCCUGCAGAAUGAAGCACUUGCCCUGGGCGGCUGGGCCGAAUCAGAAUCUUGUGCCAUCGGGAUGACAUAAAGAUGGAGACGACAGGGAGCUUGGUGAUUGGUGCCCAGUGCGCCAAUUAUUGCAACCGGAGAGCAUCGCGCAACAGCCCUCAACUGAUGAGUGGAGGAGCUCUGCAAAAUUGAGAGUGCUUUCCAAUCUUUCAGGUUCGAUCCACAUGCCUCCUUAUUGAUGGAGCAUCACGUCUUGGAAGAGUGGAAGUGAAUCAUCAACAGCAGCUGAUGCCUGGCCUAACCAUAGUCCGGUCCCAGUCCCACAGAUGGCGGCGGAUCAGUCCAGAUCCUCGACGUCCAGGGGCGGAGAAGGUGAGGAUGGCGCAGAGCAUGAGGAUCUGCCGGAGUAUCAAGAGAAGGAGCAGGCGCAGAUCUCCGGCGUACCAUGCCGCCGGCGAGCGCCAUCGCCAUGACAGAUCUACGGAACCGAGGAGCACAGCGGGCGCAAAACGGGGGAUGAAUUUGAAACAUUGUUAUCUGACUUGAGGGGUUUUCUGCAAAUAUUUGGAUCGCGACUACUAAUCGCGAUCCAGAUCAAGGGGUUUCUGCAAAUAUUUGGAUCGCGACUAUUAAUCGCGAUCCAAAUCAGGGGUGUUAAUGUAAAUGUUUGUAUCGAGAAUAAUAAUCGCGAUCCGAAUUAGGGGGUAAUUUGCAAAACCGCUCCCUCCCCCGUCUCGCGCCGCCGCCGCCAGUCUGCGGCUGACUUUGGCGGCGAGGCCGCUGGGCUUCAGUCCUGAUGGUGAUGGAGACCACCCUAAGCUCCUCCAACUCUUCACCGGCUACGACGGAGGACACGCCAGCGCAGAGCAUGGAUCUGGCGGACGCUCCCAUCCUGUUCAGCACCGGCUCUCGCCGGAGCGGAGCGUCGAGACGAUGAGACGGACGGAAGCUUGGAGCCCUCGCUGCGCAGCGCUUCACGGUAUCUCACGUCCGCCGCCUCCCGCCAUCGGAGCUGCCAAGCCGUGGCUUUUCAUUGCGCCUGUCGUAGCUGAGAAUCCACGGCAAUGGCCAAUGGCAACCUUCACAGCUUCACUCCCCAUGGCGGCACUGAAAUCUACCUAAGGAUGUGAUGUUGACUCUGGAGCUGAUGACUCGUUUACCUCAAUGGGGCGAUAGGUCAAAACGAGUUAUCUGAUUUCAGUUAAGGAUCAGAAUUGCAUGGAGUUAUCAUCAUUAUCUCAUUUUCUAGCAAUGUCAACUCUGAAGAAAAGUUCAGACACUGUGGAUGGAAUGAACAGGGUUCCAGAUUCAACAUUGUUGUCAUACUGUGGUUAAUGGUUCCAAACUUCACAUAACUGAGGCUAGGGAUAUCCAUUCAAGAGAAAAUGAAAGACAAAGAGACCUAUGUUGUUCUAGAUUCACAUCAGUUAGAGAUUUCAAACAAAAAUAAAAUAACAUGGCGAUUGUCUGAUCUUUGGACGAGGAGGUGGAGAAUAGGCGAUGUUGCAAGAAUCUUAACGUACUCUAUGAGGUAGCAGUGCCAUAUGGAGCCUCAAUUUUCACUUGUACCAUUCACAGAAAGAUCUUAGCCAAACUGUAAUUACGUUUUCAUUUCAAUUGGGCAUGUAACUUUUCCCCCAAUAGGCAGGCACAUAUAAUUUCCUUGAUACAGCAGUGUUCAAUUAACCACAAUUUUCAGUCGGCAAGAUCUUAUUUAGACGCUGGCCUGCUACUAUAUAAUACGUUCUGGGGGGUUCUCCUUCCUCCUCGAUCGUGCUCCAUGGCGGCGGCGCCUCAGUUGCAGCUGCAGCAGGAGCAGCCGCAGCUGGUGCCGCACUUGCAGGUGUUGCAGUCACAGCCGCCGCUCUCCAUGGCGGCCUCGAACCCGCCGGAGCUCCUGCACCCAUACGCAGUCAUGGUUCAGUAACAACAGCAGCGGCGGCGACGAAUCGAGAAGACGAAACAAAGGAUCAUUCCGUACGACUUACGCCUUGUUGGUGGCGGCGACGAUGACCAUGGUGGUGGUGGUGGUGGAGGUGGCCUCCACGUCAGGGAACAUGUUGCAGCUGCAUAUAUGAUCAUUGUAAACACAUUCGUCAGUUCAGAUACAUGAUCAGUUACUGCAGAUUUCGUCAUGGAAAACGAAACAACGAUCUCAUCAGGUGUUGCGAGGUUCGAUUAGGUUCCUACCCGCCGCAUCCAUUGCCGCACGUGCAGCCGGAGCCGCACCCGCAUUUGCCGUUGCAGCAAGACAUGCUGAUGAUCUUGUUGAUCACGAGAAGGGAAGCAGGAACUGGUGCUGAGGAAGGUGUAGUGCUUCUUGCGCUCUGCUUCGCUUGUGAUGAGGAAUGGCGAGGGCGAGCAGUGGUAUAAAUAGGCCCGGCGCCCGGCGGCGAC